rnacentral:lncRNA from 1 species
UAGGGCAAAUCUCCUAAAUAGCACAUUUAUAAGUUUAUAUCACAAAAAUAGCAUUCCAAAACUAAAAUGACCAAAAUAGCACUUUAUCCCCAAAAUUUUUAAUUUUUUUAUUUUUCAAAAUUUGAAAUCUUAUCCCCAAAACCUCAUUUUCAACUCUAAACCCUAAACCUUAAACUCUAAACCCUAAACCUUCAACUCUAAACCAUAAACCCUAAACCCUAAACUCUAAACCCUAAACCCUAAACUCUAAACCCUAAACCCUAAACCCUAAAUCCUAAAUCCUAUACUCCACCCUUUAACUCUAAACCCUAAGUUUGUGACUUUUGAUAAAACAUUAAGUGCUAUUUUUGUGACUUUUGACAUUGAGUGCUAGUUUGGGAACAAAAACUUGAUUUAGUGCUAUUUUUGUCUUUUUCUCUUUAUAAUACUAGGUUAAUAUAAAAUCUUGCCAGAACACUACAUACACUUAUCUAAAAGCUGUGAAACUUCAAGAAUUAUCAUUAAUUAGAAUCAUGGUGAAACUUCGAUCUCAACCGCAAAAAUGAUACAGUUUGGGCACCAUUCUUAUGAUGGAGCUAUGGGUACCUGGUUAGCUACCAGAUAAAGGUCGAUUAGGUUUUUGUAGUGUCUUUUUUAUAAAGUCUAAAACUUCAGUGCCAAUGUCACAUUAAUUCAUUGUAAAAAAGGUGUUUUGUUUGAAUAAAUUUAACAUUUUUUCAGAAAAAAAAAAGUAAGACUUUGUAGUAGUAAUAUUAGAAAUGUAAGACCUUGGCUAGGCCUGUUUUCUUUGUUUCUCAUGACUUUCAAUUUGAAGAGAAGUUUCAAAAAAUAAAUAUUAGAAAUGAGUUAUCAUAUGUUUAGACUGUUGAUCAACUUUUUUUUGGAGAUAUGUUGCAUAAACUAAGGGGCGUAUGCGAAUAUUAAAAAAUAAAUGCAAGUAAAGUAAUUAUGUUACGAGUUCAUGUAAUUAUUUGAAUCAACAAUAAUUUAUUUUAUAUAGAUUGCAUUGACUAAGAAGUAAGAAGUAGAUAAAAAGUUAUGGCUCAUAAUGUUGUAAGCAAUGUUUUUAAAACCGGACCAAUUCAACAAGUCAAACCGAAUUUUCUAUGUCUAUAAAAUUAUAUAUAUAUAUAUAUGUAUAAUAAAAUAUUUAAACUAUAUGGACUUUAAAAAUAGUUCUACAUGUGAUAUGUUCCUUAUUUUCUUUUAUAAACUAGCAAAAUAAAAGAAAGAAGCAUAAAUUUAGCUAUAUACAAUAAACAAGUACUAAGUAAACUGAAAUUGAUAAAAUAACCGUUCAAAUUAUCAUAUUUAUUUAUUCUUACAAUUAAAGUUUCAAAUUUUAUGAAUAUGACAAAAUGAGAAUAGUAAAUGAAGGCGAACAUAAAUUAUUUUUUACAUUUUUCUUGAAAAAUAGAAUUAAAUAGGAAAAUCAAUUCAAUAGAGAUAGUCUAAUAUCUGAAACAUUAAUUUUUAACAAUUGAAAAUACAUUAAUUAUGUGUUAAUUUUUUGGAAUAGGAUUUUGAAAUUGACCCGGAUCGCCGGUUUCACCGGUUUUUCUUAAAUCCAGGUUUUAAAUUGAACCAGAUUCGGCCUUUUCAACGAAUCACAGUCUUACCGGUUCGACCGAACGGUCCAUUCCGAUUUUCAAAACACUGGUUUUAAGAUAUUAAUAAGUUUCUGUAGAACUUAGAAAUACAUUUAUUUUAUAAUCAAAUAUACUAAUUGUUUCCUUAAUUUUUUUUGUUCAAAUUGUUUCAAUACUAAUUGUUUCAGCCCUUAAUUUAACUCUAACUAAUAGGGAGAAAAUACAAAAAUCUUGUAUUGGAAAGUACAAAACAUCUAUCUUAAUGAACUUUUCUGUAUAUAACAUCUUAACUGAAACGGAAUAAGUAAAAGAUAAACAACAUAAAGGAUUUUUCUUAAACAGAUAUACCACAUAUAGUAUAACAACUAGGUUAAGCCCCGCGCCUUGCGCGGAAUGAACAUUAUAUAUAUAAAUUAUUUUAUAUAUUAUAUGUUUAUAACAUAUUAUGAAAUAAUAAAUAUAUAUUGAAUAAUUAAAAAGUCAUUAUCUACUACUUAUAUAAUUAAAUUAGUGCGGACAUAUAAAUAAAUUUUAUAAAUCGAAAAAAUAUUUUUUCUAUUUGAUAUGAUGUAUAAUUAAAUUUAAAUGAUAGUAACAUACAUAUGGUAUAUUUUAAUAUUAAUAUUUAUUGGAUGAUGUUUUUUGCUCAUAUUUGUUUUUUAUCAUUUGUAUCUGUUAUAGAAAAAAGUCUAAAUUAGUGAUAACAAAAUUUUCACUGUGGUCGUAGAUCACAAAAUUUGAAUGUGAAAUUUUUAACAGUUUUAGUAAUUUAUACUCGUUUUUAAAAAUUCAAAAUAUAAUAUAUAAAUAAUUUUUAAAAUUUUUAUUAUAUGGUUACUAUGAUUGUAUAAUUAUUUUAAUAGCUUAAAAUUAAACAAAUAUAAUUAUAAUACACACUUAUUUUUAUCAAAUCUUUAUUAUUCAAAAUCAUUAAUUGUCAUAUAUACUUUAGCCACAUUAGGCAAUUCCGUAAUCUUAUUUAAGGAAAUAAUGAAGCACAUUAAUAUUGUAUUUAUUGUGGUUUAAUAAAAAGCUUAUUAUAUAUUUAGAUGGACCAACCUAUUUCUCUAAUGAUUCUAAAGUGAUGACACGUGGCUACAAAAAAAUGUUGCAAUGCUUCUCAAAUAAUAUGUAAGGGAUAAGUUUCGAAGCUAAUAAACAUGGAAUAAGAUACAUUUAUAGAAAUUCAGUACAAAAUGAUAAAGUCCAAGGACCUGGUUCUCUCGUGUAAAGGGUUACAAGACUUCUAUAUAUAUCUAAGAUCAAACUUCUUUUGGCACAAAUGAUAUAAUCUAUUAAAACAAUAAAGAAAUCGAAAACACUAACCUUGCUUGCAUGAUCUAAACGUGUGAAGAAACAUGAUUCGAUCUUUUGAACUUUUAGUAUAACAUGAUUGAGAUUGUUGAUAUUUUUCAAAGAAUUUUUUUGCAGGUUUUGAAGCGAAAAUAUCGUCUCUUAGACUUUCUAUUUCUUAUUAUUAUAUGAUAAAUAGUGAGUGGUUUAGACAAGGUGUGCCAUUGUCCUUAUAUUGUAAUUAUAUGAUUUGGUGGUAUGUGUGUAGUGACUCUCUCUUAUUUUGUGGUGUUUUGCCAUUUGGGUAAAUGGAAAAAUGAAGAUGAGUGUUUGAAAAUCAUAAAGGAUCUCUAUUAACGUUAAUACUCUUUUUUUUUUGUAAAAGAUUAACGUUAAUACUCGGAAAAGAAAAUUCGCAACAAAGGUUGUUUGCGUGCCAAGUAAUACAAUCAAGGCUAGACGCCUAGACACCACGAAUAGGGUCGUAAUACUAUCUACUGAAGCGACGACGUUACUUACAUAACAUGACACAACACAGCACACAAGAAAAAUCCAUUUUCUUGUCUGGUCAUAGACAACUGUUGGACUGUUGGGCUGUUAACAUGAAUCUCUCAGCAUGUAUCGGUACGAUUCAACACAACGUUCUUGUUAACCAACCUUUGUAUCUCCCUCUCAAGCGAUCUUAAGAACUUGUUUCCCAACGUUUUGUCCACGGAAGAGUCCAACAAGAGCAGCAGGACCAUUCUCUAGUCCUUCAACAAUAUCUUCAACAUAUACCAACUUCCUUUCAUUUAUAUCCGGAAGCACAAACUCCAAGUACUUAGGGAAUCUGUCAAUGAAGUCAAAAGCAAGAAACCCUUGCAUCUUGAUCCUCUUGUAGACAACAACCGGUAGAUUUUGUAUACCUUCUUCGGUUUCAGUAUGGUACUGAGAUAUCAUACCGCAUACAGCGAUGCGUUCAUGUGCUUUCAUGUUCAUUAGCACCGAGUCAAGCAUUUUUCCUCCCACGUUCUCAAAGUAUAUGUCAAUACCUUGUGGUAAACACCUGAAAAAAACAGAGGAAAUGUAAUUCUAUGCCUCAAGAAACAGCAUUAUAAUUUGACCAGUGACCAAACCUCUUUAAAGCGGCAUCAAGGUCAGGUUCUUCCUUGUAAUUAAAUGCAUCGUCGAAUCCAAAUUUGUUUAGCAAGAGAUCGACCUUUAACGGAACCAAACAAUGUAAGAAAAAGUAAAAAUUUAAAAGUCUCUUGAUAGAUAAGUUUUAUAAUAAAAAGGGCUCAUUAACCUUUUGCUUACUUCCGGCACUUCCAACAACAUAACAUCCCAUCAACUUAGCAAACUGACCCACGAGCUGACCAACCGCACCAGCAGCCGCAGAGACAAAGACUGCCUCUCCUUUUUUAGGCGAACAUAUCUCAAAAAAGCCGGCAUAAGCAGUCAAGCCUGUCACACCUGAUAUGUAAAAACAUAGUUUUCAAAAUAGAAACUCUCCAAAAUAGCAUUUUUUUUUAACUUUUUAUUCUAAAAAUAUAUCCAAUAAUAAAAGUUUUUAAAUAGCAACUAAAUUACGUUAACCUAUAAACUCUAGUCUCAUCCCGCUCCUAAACCAUAAUCUCUAGUUUUGUGUAUGAUAAUUUUGUUAUAAAAACAUAAAUUACUGCUAUUUUUGAACGUAUUUUUCUUUUCAGAAAUAUCAUGACAUUAUGCUCUUUUAUAGUUUUUGCAUUCCAGUGAAAAGAGGAUAUACUCACUUAGUAUUCCAGUGUAGUAAGAGAGAGGAACAUUGAUACUGAUAUCGAUUUUGAAUCUAACUAUACUCUUCCCAAUCAACGAUUCCCCAAACAAAAUCUCCUUUUGCAAAACAUGGAUCAUCAGAAUCUAUCACCUCAGAUACUCCAACUCCAGCUAUGGGCUGCACAAAAGCAUAUAUUGACAAAAAUUGCUAACUCAAGCCAUGUGUUUUUUUGUGUGUGUAAUGUUGUUACCUUCCCAGGGAUGAAAGCAUCCAAAAGUGAUAAAGUUUCCACCGCAACCUCUGAUGAUCCGGAGUCUGAUUCUCUCAUGAAAGUCCCCAUGUAAGGAUCACAAGACAAGAAAAGAUUCUUCAGAAGAAUUGUCGAUGAUCCGGGCUUAACCUUCAGUUCCAUAGUGUCUGGAGCUGUAACUAUCAUUAGAUCAGAUUCUUCAGGGAAGCCAUUUACGUAAUGCUUAAGUAUGACUUGCUUGUUCCUUACGGUAGUCUCCAUUUUCUUCAGUUUCACUCCAUUUUAUGGUAAAAGAGAAUCCCUUCUAUGAUGAUGGCAAGCGGGACUUGACACAUAUUUCAAUAUAGGCCACUGGAUACUCUGACUGUGGAGUUAAAGAACCUCGCCAGUUUUGGUUACACCUGGAAAUGGAAUUCAGGUGGCAUUAAGAUUCGUGUCACACCUUGUGAGCUGUGAUAUAUACAUACAAAUAUCAGAUAAUAUAAAAUAUUGCAAAAGCAUUACAUUCAUUUAUCUCCGUUUAGCAAUAUAGGGAAAAUUAUAAGAUAGACUUGCAUUGUUUUGAUAAUUAAAACUUUUGAAUCAUUUAUCAUUAGUGCGUGAUCUCUUGACUUUGCAUAAUCGUGCCAGUUUUAUCCUCGGAAUGACCGUUUAGAAAACGUUUUUGAUUGUUUUUUUUUUUGUUGCUAAAAACGUUUUUUGAUUAUUUAAUUUUGAUCAAUUAAAUAUGUAAUCUUCUUUAUAAUGAGGCUUGCAUGCCGCCCUAUAAGCUGAAGAGUACCUGUCUAACGCCAAUAGCAGUGGUAGAGACUAGGGAGAGUAUCUUAAGAAGCAGAGACAGACAGGUAUAUCGUUCCCAAAGGGAAGUUACCUGUGACAAUAGUAGAGCAUCCUCCUUCAGGGAGAACUCAACGGAUGAUAAGAGAUAAGUGAGCUCUUAAUUAAUUAACGAUUUAAACUCUUCAACUUUUGUUGUGUACUUGCAAGAAAAUAACUUGGAAUGCAUUAAUGGAGUAUAUUGCUGUUUUCUAGUGUUAAGACAUGCUUUCAUAAAAAAAUACACUAAUCCUGGAAACUUUUUUUUAUCUAUAAAGAGAUUCAAUACUUCAAAAAAGUUUUCGCUAGUCCAAAUUUUUUUCUACACUUUUGGUUAAUUAUGAUAUUAAUUUCUUAAGAUUCAAAAUUCAUAUUUUCUGGUAUAGAAAUACAAAUGAACUCUUAGCUAAACAACUGAAUCAAAGAGUUCUCACACAAAAAUAAGGUCCAAUUUUUUUCGUACCGUUUUCUAUUAAUAAGAAUGAGUUGAUACAAAACGAAACAAUUAAAAGACAACGCAACAAAGGUUGUUCUUCGUGCCAAGCAAUACAACAAGGCUAGACCCAAGAUCUAUUUGGCCGAUAAAUUAGCCAUUAGCCACGUUCCAAACCACCACGAAUAGGGUCGUAAAACUAUAUAUAGAAGCGACGACGUUACUUACAUGUCACGACACAAGACAAAUAUAAAUAUUAUUUUGUCUGGUCAUAGACAACUGUUGGGCUGUUGAAACCCAGCCUCAGUCCCUCCUGCAUGGCUACAAUCUGCCAUUGCCGGUUUAUUCUGGUAUGUUAGCUUCACGUCUUGAAGUCUGAUUCCGGUACACGGCUUCUUAGAGCUACAAUCAAAUUUCACUCCAACUUGUGUUGCCGAUGUCCCGUGGAUGUCGAAGAACAUUACAUCGCUGAUUUUUAUUCCAGAAACCUAUUAUCAUCAUAAUCAUAUAUUCAUAUUCGAACUAAAAAAAUAUUUCUAUAUAUGAUGUUUGAUUUAAUUAGAAAGUGAAAAAAAUGUUGAACCUGGUUAGGGCAGUUUUCGUUGCCAGGACAGUAGUUUUGGUCAAUGACUAUUGGGUUCUGUACGUUGUUCAUAACGCAACGCUGGAAACGGAUGUUCUUAGCGAAUCCAUUACUGGGCCUGGCCCAUGACUUUAUUCUCACCCCAUUCUCUGUUCCUGUAAACGUAGCCGUUUUUACUGUUACGUUCUGUACACCUGCCUCUACACUUUCUUUUCCCAAGCUCCCAAUGCUGGUUUAUAAUAAAGACAAUUGUCAAAAAGAAAAUUAAUUCAACAGAAAUGAAUAAAAUAGUUCAAAUGUAGUAAAAAAUAAUUCAAAUAAUUUUUUGAUAAAUUGAAAAGAUUAUAAAAUGAACUAAUCCAACAUAAGAUAAACUCAAUGAACUAUUGAGAAACCCAUGAGAAUGAAAACUAAUCAGAUGAAUUUAUGUUUGUGUUGAUCUCUAUACUUUCGUAAACUAUAUCAAACCUAUAAAGAUUAUUUCGUGUAUAAUUUAUCAACCAGCCAAAAACUUAUAUUCGAAAAUGUAAACUUUGACAGUUUUCAUGCAUGAUGAAGUUACAAGUAAUUUGAUUAGUAAAAAUAAAAUACCUGAUACCAUGGCCAGGGCCACAAGCAACGUUUUCGAUCCAGAGGCCAUUAGUUCCAGGACCGAUGGAUACACAAUCAUCGCCGGUGGAUAUUUUUGAGUUGAGGAUGGAGACGGUGGAGGAUGAUUGGACGUGGAUGCCGUCAGUAUUUGGACUGUUUCCAUCAGCAGAAACUUUGACUCCUUGUAUAUUUACGUUACGGCAGCCGUUAAUCACGACGUGAAACAUCUGACUGUUGAGUGACGUUAGCCCUGAGAUCACCACGUUGCUUGAGCUCUGAAACCCUAUGCUCUGUUUGUAAUUGUUGCCCAUAUGUAAGUGUCAAUUACAUUAUUUUAAAACAUUUUAUUACAUUUAUUUUUUGCUAAAAAGUUUAUCAUCAUUUAUAUAUUUGUUUAUAUAUACACAUCAAUGACUCUAUGAUUGGUACAUGUGAAAUGGGAUUGCUAACGUAACGGAUACCAUCUAUAGAUUUAUAGUAACCCACACAUUAUUUCAUAGUCCAAAAAACAUGUAACUUAAGCUUGUAAUUUAUGUUAGCCGGGAAAUAGAGAGAAAAUUAGGGAAAAUGCAUCAUUUCGAUCGUGUAUGAGGAAUUUGCGGACUUGCAAAUUGCAAUAUUCAAUGUAAAAAAUACUAUUUAAAAUGUUACUAAUGUUAAUGCAUUAACUAGUGGGACAUACACAUGAUUGGAUUUCAUAAGUUUACCUCUUUUUUAUUGUUUUGAAAUAAUUUUUAUUCACUUUGCUGAUCAGUACUUAAAUGAUAACAAAAACAAACAGUUCAGUUUUGAGAUUAUUACAUCUGAUCAUUUGUCAGACAUUUUAAUUCUAAACUGUAUUAGAUGUCUAUAUUUGCCAAUGACAAUAUAUGUGUAUAAUAGUAACGUACCGUAGCACCACUAGGGCAAUUCUGGCCGGACUUCUUGCAAGACCAUAGAGAAGCUCCCUGAGCGUCAAGAACUCCACCGUAGACGGAGAGGCCGUCGAGAUGCUGGAAGAAAAUCCAGUAGUUUCCGUUACCAAUGACUCUAUAAUCCGACGGAGCCACAAGUGUACCUUGGAUACGGAACGUGACUGACUUGCGUUUACACUUGGCUCCAUCAAAUACAAUGCUUCUUAAUAAAAACCGUCCCUUAGGGAUAGAUAUGGUGACCGGCUUGACUGAGGCGCAGGCUUUGGCCCACACAGCGGUUAAGGCCUUGGUAGAGUCGGUUUUACCGUCCGGUUUGGCUCCGUAAGAUAGAAUGUUGUAGGUCUGAGCUGAGGACAAUGAGAUUGAGAGAAGUAAGAGGAGAAUUAUGAGAACUGGAGAAGACAUUGUUUUGAGAGAGAAGUUGAAUAAUAGAGGUGGGGGUGUGUGGAUUUGAAACGGUUUAGUGGAGGGUUUAUAUAGUCUUGGCGUGUUAUGAGAUAUUUAUUUUUAAUUCGAAUAUAUAUGUAUUAAUUAGUGGCCUGGAUAUAUACAUAUAUAUAUAUAUAUAUUUCUUGUUGUAUUUGGUAUAUCAUCACACGAGAGAUUGGAAUUUAUUUCUUUCGUCAACGCAACUGAGAACAUUUUUUGUCAAAUAUCAGAAUAUUACAAGUGGUAAGUUUUAGUUAUUUCAAGUUUUUGUCUGUUUAAAUCGUUUAUCAUGAUAUAAGUAAUGUACUGGAAAUUAGAUGUUGUAACUUCUAGAUGAAUGUUGCUAAAAAAAAUCAUGAUCAUAUGGUCAUUUAAUUUAUAAGAUGGUAUACUUUUUUAUCAAAAGAAAAAUGAUGGUUGAUUUCAUAAAAUGAAUUUCAUGUACGGGCAAAGACGAUAUUGUCUAUACUAUACGUUUGUGUUCAUUUUCAUUUCAUAAAAUGCUUAUUAGAACCUAAAAAUGUUGGUUACGAGAAUGUUCAUACAUAAACUUAAUAAUUCUGUUGUAUUCAGAUUGGAUAACUGUAAAAGCAAGUGGAAUGGUCAGGGAAGUGUCAGUGCAUGUUGAUGGUAGGGGACAUAAUAUCAAUGCAUGUGACGACUCAGACGGGCAAGUAACCGAUUUUGCUUUAAUUAUCUUUAAAAUAAUCAAUAAAACGUUACACGAUCCUCAUUAUUCAAAAUCAAUGAAAGGAAUGUAUGGAUCCAUGCAUAUUAGUAUACUGUAUUAUGUAUAUUAGUGAAUUAAGGAAAAAAAUAAUGUACGGGUCAUACGGAGCCAAACAUAUGAGUGGGAAACGUGACAAGUGGAGGAGAAACCGGAGAAGAAACUGGCCAAUGAUAUCGUAAGGAUUUUCGAGGGGAUGCUAAUCACAUGCACGUCAACAUGUCAGAAAUAAUGUGAUGUUUGUUAAACACAACACAUUUAUUGCCUCAUGCCGUAUUAUUAGGAUCAAGAAAGUUAAGAAUAUUAUAUCGGAUUAAACCAUAAGAAGAAACAAGCAUGUCGCAUGUUCUAUAAUAGCCCUGUUCGUUUGGUUGCCGCAGGUUUCGGCGGCAGCGGCGGCGACAGCGUCAGCGGCGGAGAUCCCAAAUAUCUCUCCAUCUUAUUUGGCGUUCCGCAAAUAACUAUUAAUGUAAAUCUUAGGUAAUGAUCAACUUUCGUGAUUACUAUAGUGAUAUGUUUCCCCAAGGCUUACGAAAAUUAUAUUGUAUCAAUCAUGCUAAACUUUGUAAGCGGUAAGCCUAUCAUGAUCAGCAAUUCAUGUUUUCAAGUAUUUUCAGUGAUAUUCCUCUUAGUUAUAAACAAAAAUUUGAAUGAUAUAUUGCAUUAUGGUGUGAAAACAAAUCUCUCACACUCAUUGGUAUGAACUUUGGCUUAGUUACUUAUCCUAUUGCGGCUUAGUUUUUUUACUUAAUCCGAUAUUCUAAACUCUGACCCUAAUUUUUAAUCUAAACUCUGACCCUAAUUUUUUUAACAUAGGUAGAUUUGGCUAAGUUUUUAGUACAGUGGCGCAAAAGAAGCUCCUACGUACGUAGACACACACUAUACAUGCACAUUAUAUACAAUACACACAUCCAGUAUUAUAUAUAAUGAAAGUUGAAGGGCCAGAUAUGCAAUUAUUCUAAAACCCACCAUUGGAGGUUACGACUUUCUUCCGACAGAUCUCUUUGACGACGGCGACGGCGACGACGAGCUUCCACGGUGGAUUGCGUGGAGGAGAUCUCCGAUUUGGAGCCGUGACGAAGACUUGACGACAAUAGUGGUAUAGCAGAGGUUGGUCGUGACGAAGCUUGAAGCGAAGACCUCCACGAGCGCCAACGGCGAUGGCUGGUUCCGGCGACGUGACGGCGGAGGCUGAGAGCACGAUGGAGAGCUCACCACGGCGAGGACGAGCACGACUGCGGAGACUGGCACCGGAGGCGCCGAUGCUGACGCCGUCGGAGCUCGACGAAUUGUAGAGGCGGAUCGAAGAGGAUGGUCGCAGUGGCUGUAGAUCCCGACGAUCCCGACGAUGACGGAGCUGAGCGGAGACGGUUUGAUCAUGUGAUUCAGAAGAGAAAGAGAUGUGGCCGUGAGGAAAGCUGGUUGCUCUGGAGCCGGCAUCGCGAGUUGCAGACCAUGGCGGAGGAGAAGACGAUGGCUUAGUGAUGGGUUCGUGGUGGUCCGAGCACGAUCUCUCUUUGGAGAAGGAGCCUCACCAGAACAGAGCACGACAAGACCAUGAGCCACCUCGGAGAGCCUUCACGGUCAUUGGAGUCGCGAUGCGAAGAAGUUAAGCUCGGGUUCAGAACUGUUUGAUAUCGUGGGAGAGAGACACCGUUGAGCAUUGAGCGUGGCUCACAGCGACCACUGGUAGCGGGGAGUCGGGGACGUGACGCCGCUCGGGAAGACGCGGACUCACCAGCGGCAAACCGUAGCGGGACGCGAUGGCCGCUGCGAAGAUAUUUUGAGAUGUUGACCGGUUUGACCCGGUUUAAUAUAACCAAACCAGCUCGAAUUUGGCCUCUCUAUAAAUAGAUUUAGACCUAAAAAUCUUAGUUUUUAUCUCAUUUUCUCUCGAGACUUUGUCUAAACUUGUAAGAGCUUGAAUAUUUUGAUAAUCUAAGGAAAUACUUCAUCUUAUAUUUGUGUUUCUCUUGCUCAUUAACAUGAUUAGCCUUGAUCCUUACAUUGGUUUAAGGUUUCUCAUGGAGAUUAAUGAGUAGUGAACUUGUGAUUUAUGGGUUAGAUAGAUUAGGGUGAUUAAGUGGAUAUUUAGAAUGUUUAUUGCGUGAUUAACAUUGUUCUAUCCUUGCUAAGUGUUCUUAAUGCUAGAUUAGACUUGAUCACUCUCAUCUAGACCUUAAGCUAUUUUACGCCCGGAAGGUGUUUGUUAAAAGGCUUGAAUGAACUUUGCAUUGUCUUUUACAUAUUUGGCCAACGGCAGUUGAUGUCCGAGAUGUUUAAGUGGUUAGUAGACUUGUGAUUUAUGCAUGCUUGAAUGUGUUAGCCAACAGGAGUUGAUGUUUAUUGCAUGACUAGCAUAUGAAUUAUUAUCACGUGAGUGGAUUAAUCUAUUUUGAAUGAGAUCUAGAUCUAUAGAGUUGUUGAUUGUUUUGUUUGAACAUCCUAGAUUGAACCUUGAUCACCUUAUAUCAAUUAUCUUUGCCCAUGGAUCCAUCCUUAGCAUUUGAUUGAAAGUUCUUGCACUUAUUUCUUGAUUAGAUUUGAGAUCACCUUGUUUAUAUUUCUAGGACAUUAGCUUGUUACAAAAUCAUCCAUUUUCUUUUUUGCUUGGAUUAGGAAAGUUUGUGUAUUCUUGGUGUUGUAGAUCUCUAGUUCCUUGUGGAUUCUAUCUUAAAAUGCUACAAUGACUUACCAUUCGAUUGUGGUAUUGUUGGCACAUUAGGUUAAUUGGUGUGUGCUUAAACGCAGUAAUUAAUUUGGCGUCGUUGCCGGGGAACUAGUAGAUUUGUCAUUAGGAUUUCAAGCUUUCUUCAGAUUAAGCCUUAUUUUCUUAUCUUUGUUUUGCUUUUGUAUAGUUACUAACCUUUACUUCUAGCUUUUGUUCUUUGCAGUGAUGGCUUCAAGCUACUUUGAGAGGCCACAAAAAGAGAAAGACACAUUUGAAGAUCACAUAGACGGUCUAGUCUUACUUACCAUGGCUGAUGUGAAGCAUUAUCACUCUAGACACUUGUCUUCUCCCCUUCAGUCCAUGUCCACCGGUGAAACAAACCUGAGGCCAAGGGUCCUCUACCACCCAAUUCAGACAAUAGCUUCAAGUAAGUGUCACUCCAACCUUGUACAUAUUUAGUUUUCAUGUUUAAUUAUUUUCCUUCGAUCUCUUCUUUGAGCUUACUCUCACACAAGGGACUGUGUGAAGUAAGUUUGGGGGAGAGUCUACUAUCUCACAUCAUUUUCUGUUUUGUUUACUUGUCAUGAGUCUCAUGCAUUGCAUUGUGAAUACUUAUUUGCAUAGAAAAACCACAACAUUGAAUUUUUUUCCGAAAUAACACCAAAACAAGCAUUUAGAUUUAUAUCUUGUUCCAUUUGCAUCUUUAGGAUUGAGUCUAGAAGCAUUUAGAUUUCAUUCAUGCAUUGGGAAAACCUUGUAAAGAACACAUGUCUAGAACUCAAUUUGACAUCCUAGCUAAACAUAGCAAGUAGCUUAAGCAUCUCUUGAAAAAGCUUGUAAGCUUCGAGCCUUGAAAACUCUUCUUGAAACAUGUUGCUUGCUUGAUGAUUGACAUUGUUCUACCAACUCCAAAUGUACUAAGGCUUAAUGAACUUAAUCUCUCUUGCAUAUGAGCAUUUGCAUACUUGAUCAUGGAUAUUAUACACAUUUGGGUUAUCUUUCUUUCUUUGUACCAAUCUUUGUUAACCCAAAUGGCACUCCCAUACCUAUGAACUCUCACCAUUCCUUGAAGCCAACAUUGAUUUGCUUGAGUGAGACCUUUUUGUGAAAGCUAGUCAUGUGCAAAAUCUUGAGAGUAUUAGGAGCGACAAUGGUUUGUUCUUAUCUUUGGCUAGCACUAGGUCCUCAUUUGAGCUAGCACUUAGGAUGGUUUGUUGGGUUUGUAUGCUUGAUUUUGAUCUUGGGAUUGGGAUGUGAGUGAAAGUGAAAAGAAAUGAACCAAAAAGAGUGAGAAAAGGAAAGAAAGCCACUAGNNNNNNNNNNNNNNNNNNNNNNNNNNNNNNNNNNNNNNNNNNNNNNNNNNNNNNNNNNNNNNNNNNNNNNNNNNNNNNNNNNNNNNNNNNNNNNNNNNNNNNNNNNNNNNNNNNNNNNNNNNNNNNNNNNNNNNNNNNNNNNNNNNNNNNNNNNNNNNNNNNNNNNNNNNNNNNNNNNNNNNNNNNNNNNNNNNNNNNNNNNNNNNNNNNNNNNNNNNNNNNNNNNNNNNNNNNNNNNNNNNNNNNNNNNNNNNNNNNNNNNNNNNNNNNNNNNNNNNNNNNNNNNNNNNNNNNNNNNNNNNNNNNNNNNNNNNNNNNNNNNNNNNNNNNNNNNNNNNNNNNNNNNNNNNNNNNNNNNNNNNNNNNNNNNNNNNNNNNNNNNNNNNNNNNNNNNNNNNNNNNNNNNNNNNNNNNNNNNNNNNNNNNNNNNNNNNNNNNNNNNNNNNNNNNNNNNNNNNNNNNNNNNNNNNNNNNNNNNNNNNNNNNNNNNNNNNNNNNNNNNNNNNNNNNNNNNNNNNNNNNNNNNNNNNNNNNNNNNNNNNNNNNNNNNNNNNNNNNNNNNNNNNNNNNNNNNNNNNNNNNNNNNNNNNNNNNNNNNNNNNNNNNNNNNNNNNNNNNNNNNNNNNNNNNNNNNNNNNNNNNNNNNNNNNNNNNNNNNNNNNNNNNNNNNNNNNNNNNNNNNNNNNNNNNNNNNNNNNNNNNNNNNNNNNNNNNNNNNNNNNNNNNNNNNNNNNNNNNNNNNNNNNNNNNNNNNNNNNNNNNNNNNNNNNNNNNNNNNNNNNNNNNNNNNNNNNNNNNNNNNNNNNNNNNNNNNNNNNNNNNNNNNNNNNNNNNNNNNNNNNNNNNNNNNNNNNNNNNNNNNNNNNNNNNNNNNNNNNNNNNNNNNNNNNNNNNNNNNNNNNNNNNNNNNNNNNNNNNNNNNNNNNNNNNNNNNNNNNNNNNNNNNNNNNNNNNNNNNNNNNNNNNNNNNNNNNNNNNNNNNNNNNNNNNNNNNNNNNNNNNNNNNNNNNNNNNNNNNNNNNNNNNNNNNNNNNNNNNNNNNNNNNNNNNNNNNNNNNNNNNNNNNNNNNNNNNNNNNNNNNNNNNNNNNNNNNNNNNNNNNNNNNNNNNNNNNNNNNNNNNNNNNNNNNNNNNNNNNNNNNNNNNNNNNNNNNNNNNNNNNNNNNNNNNNNNNNNNNNNNNNNNNNNNNNNNNNNNNNNNNNNNNNNNNNNNNNNNNNNNNNNNNNNNNNNNNNNNNNNNNNNNNNNNNNNNNNNNNNNNNNNNNNNNNNNNNNNNNNNNNNNNNNNNNNNNNNNNNNNNNNNNNNNNNNNNNNNNNNNNNNNNNNNNNNNNNNNNNNNNNNNNNNNNNNNNNNNNNNNNNNNNNNNNNNNNNNNNNNNNNNNNNNNNNNNNNNNNNNNNNNNNNNNNNNNNNNNNNNNNNNNNNNNNNNCGCCACCGAGCAGAGCAACUGUGGUUGACAAAUCCAACGAGUCGCCUCUUCGCACGCGCCCCCGCUACAGAAAACCCGCAACAAAUCCAUCUGGCUAGGAACCGAUGGCAACUCCGACAAGCCCCAGAGAGUCACGGUCUGACCAGCUUGACAAGACGACGCCAGGGACCACCGAGGAAGCAGGAGGAACACCGCAACUCCACCACCCAGGGAGACCAACGCCGCCUUCAGCCUAGCUAGACCACUCACCCGCACCGAGAAGAGAAACAGAGGAGGCAGAAGAAAGGGAGGCCCAUCUGCGAUAUCCAGAUCUGACGCCAGAUCUAGACCACUACCACCACGAUUUCCAAGAGACAACCUCACAUCCACUCCACCACCACGAUUCUCCGGCGUUACGAAGUCAACGCGCCAGAUCUGUCCGCGGAAGCGCAAGACCCAGAAGCCCCAAGAAAGGAAUCGAGGAGAAGGAAGGAGAGGAGAGGCGAGGAGAAGGAAGAAUCAAUCAUGGAAGGGGGCGACCGACGAUGGAGGAGGAGGCCGCCGGCCACCCUAAGCAAGAGGCGAUUUAGGGUUUUGUUUGAAAGGAUUUAGAGAGAGAGCAAUUGGGGUCCUGCUUUUCUAAAUAGAGUUCUUUACGUAAUGUAUUUUAUAAGGAAUAAGUUGUAAUCCUCUUGUAUACAGUUUUUUAAUCCAAUUUUUUUAAAAAAAUUUGAUUGAAAAAUGUUGCUUUACAUACACGUAUCCAUGUAUCCAUGUAAGACAGUAGAAACAUCCAAAAUAGAGGCUCCUCUUUUGUCAAAGUUGCAUCAGAAAGGUCAUAGUCCGAAUGGUCCCGAGUAUAUGUCGGGUCCAACCUUUAGUUGUUGUUGAGAUAAUUGAUUCGAUGAUUCAAUCCAAACCUACCCAACAUAAGUUUGAAGAAUUAAUUGGUCGGAAACUGGUUCAUAAUUACAAAGUGUUAUGAAAUAACUUAUAAUUUAUAGUAUUGAGAAAUUUAAAUAAGAAUAGAAAUUAAUACCCGUAGGAAGCAAAUAACACUAAUAUAAGUGAGAGAAUUUAUUAUAAGUAAGAAUAAAAAGGUGUAAUGGUGUACAAAAGAGUGAGAUGAGUGAUGGUAUUUAUAGUGAGCAAUAAUACAUAAAAUAUCAAAAAUGAUGCUUGAUUUAGUAAAUGAGUGGGUGAUCAUAGUGCUUGAUGAGUAGAUGAUCAUAGUGCUUGAGUUGGUAAAGGACUGGAGGAUCAUUUCAAAGUUUAUAUACAGUGAAACAAUAGAGACAGAAAAAACAAAUUAAAUCAUAUGGAAGUCAACUAUGUGCAUCCAAAAAGUAACUAAAGCCAUAACAGUUUCGUUGACUUGUCUUUCCGGACCUUCCGGUCCUAUUUCUAUUUCUACUUCUUCAUGUGAUUAUCAUUUACUUACCACUCAUAUGGAAACAAACAUCUACUAGAAGAAAUGUUCUUAUAGAUGAUGAACAUAAGCUCACGAAGAACACAAAAAUUUAACUUAAUUUAAUAUAUAUACCAAUACUAAUUAUCAAAUGGUUUAGAGAUUUUCUGUUCAGCAAGCUCUAGAGAUUGUAGGUUUUCUCUCUAAACAUGUUUUUAACUCUCUUCCGACUCAACAAACACAAUAACAAGAUUCUUUUUCAUGAGCCCACCUGUGACCACUGCAAAAGAAAAAAAACAUGUCAGAGAGGUUACAAACGAAGAUCAUCAUCAUCCUUAGGAAGCUUUUUGAUUAUUCUCCAGCUGCUUGAGAUUAUCCACGUGUUGCAAGUAGUUUUGAACGGCCAACAUCCUACAGAAAAUGGUUACAAGAGAUGAUAAAAACGUCAGAUAUAUUCCAAGAGGAGAUGCAAAACCAUGAAAGUAUUUGUUGAUGGUCAUCUAAACGAAUCGAUCAUCAACACGAGGAUGAUCAAUAUGCAUAGAUGUCAAUCAACAAACACAUUCAAGGGUUGCAAAAGAGAGUAACCAACCGAUGAAUUUCAUGGAAGUUAGAGAUGUAUAAAAACAAGUUUGGGAAUGUGAAAGUACAGAAUAUUCUUUGGAUAUUCUUAAGCAUAUGCUUUGGAAUAAACCUUUUCUCUAAUUCGAGAGGAUUCUUAAUGGCAACCAUGAUGAAAUGAAAACUCAAGAAGUAAAAAAGAAUCAGAACUCUCUUCUCGAUGAUUUGAUUAAUCAAAGUCUGAAAAUGUUCUUUAAAAUAUUACAAUGGCCUUUUCAAAUGUAAGACGAGACUAUAUGUCAAACUGUUCUUAUGGAUGAUGAACAUAACGUUUACAUUAUAGUACAUCAUAAGAAUGCUGGCUUCAUUUUUUAAAAUAACUCCUUGAUAAAUUUUUGAUCUUUAAGGUUAUAAAAUUGGGAACAGAAGACAUAAUACCAUUAAAAGUUGUCAACAAAGAACAUAUACAAGUUAAAAAAACAUACAAUGAAAGCUUUCCUGGAAGAUGUUGUGAUGUUACCAUUGGACGUGUGUUCCAAGUGAAGGUGUUGGAUGUUCUUGGUUAUGAAGGAAGUGCUAAAGAGUUUGAACACUUGAAGAGUUUGCUUGGGGGGUAUGGAGUGUGAAGACGUGGUUUUCAAGCCAGUUAUGAUGAGUGCACAUGCAUAGUCAAAAAGGGGGAGAUUGAAGAUGCAGUCUGCUGAGAUGUUUUGUUUCAGUUCGUGAAGUACUACAGAAGGUAGUACAGGCGUGCGUCAUGAAGAUGGAGCUGAAUGGGAAUUUGAGUUUUGUGAUUGCGUGAACUUGCUGAGCUUGGAAAAGGAAAGAUGAUAUAUGUUUGAAGACAUAUAGACGUUUUCCAUAAAGCAAAAGAGAGUUGCUUGAAGAUGAAGUUUUCCAUUAAAGAAAAUGGAAAGUUGUCUUAAGUGUAUUUGGAAGACUUGGAGAGCAAGUUGAAGACGUGGAGAGCAAGUUCUGGUAGCUAUGUAAGGACGGACGUGCCUUAUGAGACAGCAAGACCUCAUAGAAGAGAGAGAGAGAGAGGUUUCCUUGGUGUGUGGUACUGCUUGGUGUCGAAGGAUAUUCUGAAGCAUUUUCUGAUGGAGUCCGAUGUGGACUUAGUUUGGUGGCGUUUGAGUUGGCGCUUUGGGUGGUGGAGUUAGCCAUCAUGUGUAGCUCGUGUGAGCUUUGUGUGUGCUUGGUUGAUCAAGCGUUUUGGUGUCACUGGGUUGCGUUGGGUGCUGACGUACUUGGUGAAGUACUUCUGAGAAGUGGAAGAUUGAAGCCUAGACUCUGGGGGAGUUUAGAAAUGGCGGUUUCAUUGAAGAGAUCUGUGAAGAUUGCAGCUGUAGAAGACAGUGUGCUCCGGUGAGCCGGAUGGUGAUCUAUGCAUGCGUGCUUGAUUCAUAAUCUUUGUAGAUUGCUACUUAGAAAAGAGUGGUAAACACUAGUGUGUGUGUUGUAUCAUAUAGCAAUUGUAGGUUGCUCCUUGUUCUAAGUCGAUGAAAUCUGGACGAGGUCCCGGGGAUGUAGGAAACGAACCCCGUUAACAAAUUUUGUGUGUUUUACUUUCUGCACUUGUUUUUCGUCGCCUCAUCUGCACUAACAGAGUGCAUCGAAAAAAUGCGAGUGGAGUUAAUUGUACAAUCUUAUAUAUUAAAACAAAAGUAACAACCUUGAUUCAUGUGUGAUUUUUUUUAAAAAAUGAACAUAAUAGACCUAUUCAUAUAUAGUCAUGUUACAUUUAAUCUCUAAUCUUAUCAUUUAAAUUUUGGACCUACCAGAAAUUUUUAUUGGACUAUCAAUAAUUGGAUUUAAAGAAUAGAUGAUCCAUUGAAUUUAUAGAUAGUAUAAAUUAAAUAGAUAUAAUUUAAAUAUGUAUAAUUUAAUGUUGUAAUACUAUACCUCCAUAUGUUAAAUAUUUAAAUAUUUGUCGAUGUUAACUUUUAAAAUUAUAAAGAUUUUUUUUUAAAUAACAAAAAUCAUACUAUCUAACGAUGAUUAAUUUUUAUUUCCCUAAACCAAUGAAAACAAAUUUUAAACUAUAUAGUUUUUUAAAAAAUUAAACAAAAACUAAAUGCUUAAUUAUUUACUCGAUAAUAUAAAUCUAUGAAGCGAAAAGUUUAAUUUUUAAAAAACUUUAUAAAUUUGUGAAAUAUUACAAUAUCUUUGAAUAUGAUAAUAAAGUAAUAUUUUACUAAUCUUUACAAUAUAGUUAUGAUUUUAAUAAUGAAAUAAUAAUAUGAAAAUAUAUAUAUAGAAGAAGAUACAAAUACAUGUGAAAGUUUAUAACAAUCUAUUCAAUGAAAAAAAUAUAUCGUAAACUUAUUAUGUUUUAAAAAUUGAUAGACACAUAUAUUAUAAUAUAUACCAAUUUAGAAUUGAAAAUAAAAUAUUUAUAUAAAAAUAAAUGAAAACAAAAAUCUGCGCGGUUGCGCGGAUCGAAAUCUAAUGAUGAUGUUAUAGUAAUAAUAAUGAUGAUGUUGACAUGAUUAUGGUGGUGAAGUUAUAGCGACGAUGAUGAUAAUGGUAUAACGGUACCAAUUCAUUAAGUUCAAAAUUAACUCAUAUGGUGCUAAUGUGUAUGUUUUAUUGAAUUUUUGUCACUUUUUCACUCAAUUUUUUUUUUUGGGUUUAGUUAUGUAAACCAUUGAUAUAUAUAUACCUUUAACGUAAGCAUUGAUAUAAAAUGAUAUUCUCUGUUUUAUAAUAUAAGUAGUUUUAUCAAAAAAAAAUUGUUUCACAAUAUAAGUAGUUUUAACUUUUCAAUGAAACUUUUAUAUUUAUUAUAUAUUGUAUGACCAAUUAAAUUAUGUAUUUUUUUAUAAUUGGUUGAAAUUAUAUAUUAAAUGUUAUUUUUUAAUAAGUAACCACUUUCUUAAUAUUGAUUAUUUUAGCUUAAAACUAUUUACAAUUUGAAACUACAAAAUAGAUAAGAUUUCAUAAAUAAUUGACUCUUUUAAUAGGUAUUUACAUUUUUUUAUGCGCAUUACUCGAGGCUUAUAAAGUUAUAAUACACCAAUAUGCAUAUAUAUAGGCUCAUAGCUUUACGAUUCAUUCGCUCUCUCUCAACUCUUUCAUCUUCCCUCAGAAUCUUCUUACAAGAAAACAGCCACGCAGCAAAGAAGGUAAGACGAUGUUCACGUUGGAGAGCUCCGACGGUUUCUUAUUUGUGGUUGACGAAGCGGUCGUACUUCAAUCAGUGAUACUGUCGCCUAUGGUUCAAGAUUGCGCCAGUCGUGAAUACCCGAUCACCAACGUCACAGGCAAAAUCCUCAAGUUAGUGAUUGAAUACUGCAAGAAUCACGUCGUCGUCGACGGUGGCGAUUCUUCUUCCUCCUCCGGUGAUGCUCUCAAGAAGUGGGACGAUAAGUUCAUCACGCAAAUGGAUCUGUCCACGGUCUACGAUCUCCUCAUGGCUGCGAACUACCUAAGCAUCAAAGGUCUUUUUGAUCUCGCUUGCCAGAGAGUCGCUGACGUGAUCGCUGCAUGCAAAGACCAUAAGGAGAUUCGUGCAAUGUUCGGCCUCGUGAACGACUUCACAGCAGAGGAGGAAGCAGAGGUUCUCAAGGAGAACGAGUGGGCUUUUGAUUGAUGAAUGAAUGAGCGGGUUAAUCUAAACCCCUAGCUACUCUUUCUUUUCGAAUCUUUGUGUUUACGGAUCUUUAGAUCGAUAAUAGUUGAACAUGGCUUUCUUGUUUUUGAUUUUGAUAAUAUCAACAGUGUUCUUGAUCGAUAUUAGAUGAACAGAAAGUCUUAUAAAGCAAGUUGUUGUUGAUCGUAUGAGUUUAUGCUUUCUGCAUUGGGUUUCAAAGUCUCGGACUAUAGUAGAAUCGUUACAUCGAUAACCAUGAGAACAAGAGAGUUGUGUUCACUAAACAUGACUCGUCUUUGGCGUGCAGAACAAGAAAAGACAAUUCUUGAUCAAUCUUAAACAAGAUCAAGAAAACAUAGGAUAUGAUGAUAAAACUGCAUAUAUAUCCAGAAGAAGUUUUUGUAUAUGUGAAGCUUGUGUUUUAAGAAAUCUUCUGUCAAUGAUCUUUCUCUACUAGUUCUGACUCACCGCCAUUGCUCUCUGGUACCAAGGUUUUCUGUUUGACAAUACAGUUACGUCACACUCACGCAUCUCUUUUGGUGAUUUGUAUAAAUUAAAGGGAAAAUUAGAAAAAUAAGACACUUUGAACUUUUAUUCGUCACAAUAUGACUUCUGAUAUUUUGGACAGUUUUGGACAUAUCUUACUUUUUUUUAUGGGAAAAAUAGUAAACUGAAUUUUAAAAAUGUUAAAAAAUAGGGCUUUUUGCAAAAGUGACUCAAAACUUGGAGUCAAACAGAAAACUAACAUUUUUUUUUUACUCCUUUUUUUUUAAGAUUUUAACCCCACACCUGCAUUUUAUCUACGAAAAUGCCAUUAACAUUUUUUUUUUUUUCGAAAAUGGCUUCUUUACUGUCUCAACCUCAUCUUCUUCAAGUAUUUACAAUAUUGCCACUGCAAUGAAUAGUGGCAACAACCUUGUACGAACUGUUUGGAGCUUUUAAUGCCCUUUAAUGCACGUAAAUCUCUUUACACUCUCUCUGUUUCAAUUGUUAUGAACUAAAAACAACAUUUCUUUCACUUUCUCUCUAUAUUCAUCCAAAAAACUCAAGCUUUUGAUUCAAAAUAUGGGCUAUGGUUGACAGAGCCAUAUUUCUUUCGUUUUGACUUACGGUUGCUUUCGUUUGAGGUUCUGGGUGGUUGGAGAAGACCCUGUGUGCAAACGAAGUCAUCUCACCUAGUUUAAGGUACGAAUUUGAAUUUUUUUUCAAGAUCUGUUCGCGUAGAAGACUUACUAGUAAGUCAUCUGUAUGUAGAAGACUUACUGAUGAGUCUUCUGGUCAAACGGACGACUUAAAUUAAGUCGUCAAGCUUUGUUUGUUAAAAAAAAAAGUCUGGCAAGAGCACUUUUCGGUCCUCCAGAGACUCAAAUACGUCUAGAUUGGCCAACGAAGCUGAGGAUUUGCGUCGGUAUAGCGAGAGGAUUAGCUUAUCUCCACUAGGAAUCAAAACUCAAGAUUGUGGACAGAGACAUCAAAGCAACUAAUGUCUUGCUGGACAAGGAACUAAAUGCAAAGAUUUCGGAUUUUGGUCUUGCUAAGCUUGAUGAAGAAGAAAACACACACAUGAGCACACGAGUCGCUGGAACAUAGUGAGUUUAACUAAUCUGUCAUAAGAGUUUCAGCUCUGUUUAGGUUUCUUGUAACCAAAGUAAGCUUUUUUAUUUUCUUUCGCAGCGGAUUCAUGGCUCCUGAAUACGCCAUGAGAGGUCACUUGACAGAUAAAGCAGACGUCUACAGUUUCGGCGUCGUGGCUCUAGAGAUUGUUCACGGAAGAAGCAACACAAGCGCACGAUCCAAAGGCGAAACCUUCUACCUUCUUGACUGGUUAAGUUAUUAUCUUUUACACCUAUAAAUUAUAAAACCUUGAAUCUGAAUUCGGCUGAUAGACUUUGCUUAUCCGUAACUGUAAACCUCCACACUCUUAUUGAUAAACGAAGUACAAAUGUGUUUAGCUUCGAAGUACGAUCUCGAGCUUCACUCUCAUAACGAGCUUCACUCUCAAUCUCUCAAUCUCAUAACGAUCGAGAAGUACAGACUCAUAACGUCUAUAACAAACUAUAACAAAAGCAUAAACCAUCCUUAACGGAUUACAACUCUAUUUAUACUUCUAACUGAAUAACGGCAAACACUCAACUCGAUCCAGAGUGUCUCAGCUCUUCUUUUAUUUCAACUCCUCAACUCUCUUCUUCUACUACUUCUUUGCCUCUCCUCUUCCUCAUGUAAGCUUUCUUGAACCUAUAAAUACUUCCCCCAACGAAAUCCAGCUUGCCCUCAAGCUGGUAAGAAGGAAAACAAGCCAGGAACUCCUCAUACGACAUCCAAGAAUUCUCCAAAGAAGACUUUCCCUUCCAUUGGAUCAACAGCUCCAAACUACCCUUCGUGUCAUAACGUUUAUCCAACACAUCCUCCGGUUCAAUAACUUCGUCCACAUCCGUAAUGCAACCUGGAGGAAGCACUGCACUCUGUUCGUGCUGUCCCAAUGCAAGUUUCAACUGGGAGACAUGAAAAACAGAGUGCACCCGAGCCUGAGGAGGAAGUUGAAGCUUAUAAGCCGUCUUCCCAAUACGCUCAAGUAUGGCAUACGGCCCAUAGAACUUUGCUGCGAGCUUCUGACAGACACGUCGCACCACCGUUUGCUGCCUAUAAGGUUGUAGCUUCAAAUACACCAUAUCACCCACAUUAAACUCUACUUCCCUUCUUGACUUAUCAGCCUGGGCCUUCAUUAUCUCUUGUGCUCGUAACAAAUUCUGUUUGAGGGACUCCAGCGCCUCAUCUCUGUCACGUAACGCUCUAUCCACCUCAAAGUUUGUAGUCGAACCCGGUUCAAAACGCAAGAGAGGAGGAGGGUCACGGCCAUACAACACCUUGAACGGAGUAGUCUGUAAUGAUUUAUGAUAAGUGGUAUUAUACCACAGCUCCGCCCAAGCCAAAUAGGAAUGCCACGAACGAGGAUGGGAGGAAGAGAAGCAACGUACGUACGUCAAAACCUCAGAUUUACCAUCUGUUUGAGGAUGAAAGGCAGUACUGUACUUCAAUGUCGUCCCCGCCAAACGAAAAACUUCAGUCCAAAAAGAGCUCAAGAAGAUGUGAUCCCUAUCAGACACAAUACUCUUUGGAAACCCAUGGAGCUUAACUACUUCGACAACAAACUUCUUAGCCACAUCUAGCGCGGUGAAUGGGUGUUUGAGACUGAUAAAAUGCGCGUAUUUACUCGAACGGUCAAUCACCACCCAGAUCACAUUAACGCCAUUAGAGGUGGGUAAGCUGAUAUCUCAUGUUUUUAUAGACUUUUAACAUUUCAUUUUAUUGCAUUUUGAUCAUUAGAAUGCAUAUUAGGUGUAUAUAUUGCACUAGAGUGUUCAUUUGAAUAUUCUAAGGUUUGGAGUGUCCAAUUGGAAGUUUUCGGCAAUAUUGGAAGGUUAUUGUUGCAAAUCAGAUACUUAUGGGUCAUAAAUGAAAGAAGGCAAGAAUUCAGGGACCGAAGUUGCAAAUUCAGAAUUCGCCGGACUAGACUGCACAACUGGAACUUUGGGGUUAAUUCGAGUGGACGUUUCUGCACAUUCGAUAGUUUUGGGGUCAAAGAGUAACUAUAUGAAAGUUGAAGGGCCAGAUAUGCAAUUAUUCUAAAACCCACCAUUGGAGGUUACGAUUUUCUUCCGACAGAUCUCUUUGACGGCGACGACGAGCUUCCACGGUGGAUUGCGUGGAGGAGAGCUCCGAUUUGGAGCCGUGACGGAUACUUGACGACAAUGGUGGUUGAGCAGAGGUUGGUCGUGACGAAGCUUGAAGCAAAGACCUCCACGAGCGCCAACAGCGAUGGCUGGUUCCGGCGACGUGACGGCGGAGGCUGAGAGCACGACGGAGAGCUCACCACGGCUAUGACGAGCACGACUGCGGAGACUGGCAGCGGAGGCGCCGAUGCUGACGCCGUCGGAGCUCGACGAAUUGCAGAGGCGGAUCUAAGAGGAUGGUCGCGGAGGCUGUAGAUCCCGACGAUCCCGACGGCGAGAAGAGCACGGCUUGAAGAGCCACAGUUCAGAUCGACGGCCAUAAAGAAGAAGACGAUGACGUUGUAGCGAUCAAUUCCAAGCCUUGGAGCAGGUUACCAUAGCGACAUGGCCCAACCGCGCGCAACGUAGCGAGCUCGGGAGCGGCUUAGUGGAGCGGGGAGAAGUGGCCGCGCGCUUCGAUGAUCCAUUUGCGAAAUUAAAAACGUUGACCGGUUUAAUCCGGUUUGACCCGGUUUUAUCCAAUCGAACCAGGACGAGUUUAGACUUCUUAUAAAUAGUUUUAGCCUCCAAAAACCCUAAUUUAUCUCAUUUUCUCUCAAAACUUUAUCUAAACUUGUAAAAACUUGAAUCUUUUGAUAAUCUAAGGAAGUAUUUCAUCUUAUAUUUAUAAUUUUCUUGCUCAUUAACAUGAUUAGCCUUGAUCCUUACAUGGGUUUAAGGUUUCUUAUGGAGAUUAGUGAGCAGUGAACUUGAUAUUCAUGGGUUAGACAGAUAGGUGAUUAAGUGGAUAUUUAAGAUGUUUAUUGCUUGAUUAACAAUGUUCUAUGCUUGUUAAGUGUUCUUAAUCUAGACCUUAAGCUAUUUUACGUCCGGAAGGUGUUUGUUAAAAUGCUUGAAUGAACUUAGCAUUGUCUUUUAUAUAUUUGGCCAACGACAGUUGAUGUCCGAGAUGUUUAAGUGGUUAGUAGACUUGUGAUUUAUGCAUGCUUGAAUGUGUUAGCCAACGGGAGUUGAUGUUUAAUGCAUGACUAGCAUAGGGAUUAUUAUCACGGGAGAGGAUUAAUCUAUUUUGAAUGAGAUCUAGACCUAUAGACUUGUUAAUUGUUUUGUUUGAACAUCCUAAAUUGAACUUUGAUCACAUUAUAUCAAUUAUCUUUGCCCAUGGAUCCAUCCUUAGCAUUUGAUUGAAAGUUCUUGCACUUAUUUCUUGAUUGGAUUUAAGAUCACCUUGUUUAUAUUCCUAGGACAUUAGCUUGUUAAAAAAUCAUUCAUAUUCUUGUUUGCUUAGAUUAAGGAAGCUUGUAUAUUCUUGGUGUUAUAGAUCAUUAGUUCCUUGUGGAUUCGAUCCUAAAAUGCUACAAUGAUAUACCAUUCGAUUGUGGUAUUGUUGGCACAUUAGGUUAAUUGGUGUGUGCUUAAACGCAUAAUCAUAAGCCCUAGAUAAAAUCCAUGGUAACAUCUUCCCACACAAGAUUCGGAACUGGUAGAGGCUGCAACAACCCGGCAGGUGAGAGAGUCGAGUGCUUAUGUGUUUGACAUAUCACACACGAAGCCACAUACUGCUGAAUCUGCUUAUACAUUCCCUUCCAGAAGAACGAACACUGAACCCUCUUCACUGUCUUAAGCACACCUGAAUGGCCUCCCAUCUUACUAUCAUGCGCCUCCAGUAAGAUAAGUGGGAUGUACUGAGAAGAUUUAGGUAUGACCAAACGUUUCUUAUACCACAGUCUCCCAUCAAUCGCUUGAUACUUACGAGAUAACAAAACACCCGUCAAAAUUUUUUGAAUAGUCCCCUGUAUCAUUGUAUCUUCUUUGAUCUCUUUAUAAAGAUCUUCCCAUUGCAGGACCGUAGGUGUAGUUAAAGCCAACAAGAGUGAAGAUAAUUACAUUGAACGCGAUAGACCAUCUGCUGCUUUGUUCUCCGGUCCAGGCUUGUAAAAAAUUUCAAAAUCAAACCCCAAGAUCUUCGUAAGCCACUUCUGAUACUCCAAAUUCACUCCUUCUGUUCCAGCAAAAAUUUUAAACUCCGUUGAUCAGUAUGCACAUGGAACUUACGGCCAAGAAGAUAAUGUUUCCAUUUUCGAAUCGCCAUAACUAUAGCCAUAAGCUCCCGUUCAUACGCUGGUUUCAUCUGCUCACGGGCGGUCAACGCAUGACUGAAGAACACGAUAGGUUGCUUGUUCUGCAUCAAUACUGCUCCUAACCCCACUCCAGAUGCAUCAGAUUCAAUGACAAAACCUGUUGAAAAUCCGGGAGAGCUAAUACUGGGGCGUUAACCAUAGCAAACUUCAAGUUAUCAAACGCAAUUUGUGCUUCCCUGGCCCAACAAAACUGAUAUUUCUUCAAAAAAACUGUCAACGGACGAGCAAUGCUGCCAUAAUCUUUGACAAAAUGUCUGUAACAACCGGUUAACCCCAAAAAUCCCCGUAGCUGCUUCACUGUUUUCGGAGUUGGCCAUUCACUCAUUGCUGCAGUCUUCGCGGAAUCUGUAGCUACACCUUUACCUGAGAUAAUAUGACCCAAAUAUUCCACUGCUUCCACCCCAAAGGUACACUUCUUCUGAUUCGCAAAUAAACUAUGUUCUCGGAGGACUUGGAGAACCAACCUCAAAUGUUCCUCAUGCUCCUCGUGAUUCUUGCUAUAAAUCAGUAUAUCAUCAAAAACACGAGGACAAAGUGGCGUAGUAAGGGCUUGAACACCUUGUUCAUCAACGCUUGGAAUGUGGCAGGUGCGUUAGUGAGACCAAAAGGCAUCACUAAAAACUCAUAGUGUCCUUCCACAGUCCGGAAUCCUGUCUUCGGUAUGUCCUCUUCUAGCAUUCGUAUUUGAUGGUAACCUGAGCGUAAAUCCAAUUUAGAGAAGACAGACACUCCAUUGAGCUCAUCUGUCGCGGAGGCUGUAGAUCCCGACGAUCCCGACGGCGAGAAGAGCACGGCUUGAAGAGCGACGGUUCAGAUCGACGGCCAUAAAGAAGAAGACGAUGACGUUGUAGCGAUCAAUUCCAAGCCUUGGAGCGGGUUACCAUAGCGACAUGGCCCAACCGCGCGCAACGUAGCGAGCUCGGGAGCGGAUUAGUGGAGCGGGGAGAACUGCCCGCGCGCUUCGAUGAUCCAUUUGCGAAAUUAAAAACGUUGACCGGUUUAAUCCGGUUUGACCCGGUUUUAUCCAAUCGAACCAGGACGAGUUUAGACCUCUUAUAAAUAGUUUUAGCCUCCAAAAACCCUAAUUUAUCUUAUUUUCUCUCAAGACUUUGUCUAAACUUGUAAAAACUUGAAUCUUUUGAUAAUAUAAGGAAGUACUUCAUCUUAUAUUUGUGUUUCUCUUGCUCAUUAACAUGAUUAGCCUUGAUCCAAUUUAAGGUUUCUCAUGGAGAUUAGUGAGUAGUGAACUUGUGAUUCAUGGGUUAGAUAGAUUAGGGUGAUUAAUUGGAUAUUUGGGAUGUUUAUUGCUUGAUUAACAUUGUUUUAUGCUUGCUAAGUGUUCUUAAUGCUAUAUUAGACUUGAUCACUCUCAUCUAGACCUUAAGUUAUUUUACGGUAGGAAGGUGUUUGUUAAAAUGCUUGAAUGAACUUAGCAUUGUCUUUUACAUAUUUGGCCAACGGCAGUUGAUGUCCGAGAUGUUUAAGUGGUUAGUAGACUUGUGGUUUAUGCAUGCUUGAAUGUGUUAGCCAACGGGAGUUGAUGUUUAAUGCAUGAUUAGCAUAGGAAUUAUUAUCACGGGAGUGGGUUAAUCUAUUUUGAAUGAGAUCUAGACCUAUAGACUUGUUGAUUGUUUUGUUUGAACAUCCUAUAUUGAACUUUGAUCACCUUAUAUCAAUUAUCUUUGCCCAUGGAUCCAUCUUUAGCAUUUGAUUGAAAGUUCUUGCACUUAUUUCUUGAUUGGAUUUGAGAUCACCUUGUUUAUAUUUCUAAGACAUUAGCUUGUUACAAAAUCAUCCAUCUUCUUGUUUGUUUGGAUUAGAAAAGUUUGUGUAUUCUUGGUGCUGUAGAUCUCUAGUUCCUUGUGGAUUCGAUCCUAAAAUGGUACAAUGACAUACCAUUCGAUUGUGGUAUUGUUGGUACAUUAGGUUAAUUGGUGUGUGCUUAAACGCUUAAUCAGCUAUUGUAAAAGACAAUUACUUACGCCACCAAAUAUAGAAAAUAAAAUCUAUUAUCUUCUUCUCGUUGUCGUCUAAGACCAUGAUUAACUCCAGUCUUAACUGAGGUUUUUAGUUUCGGCUAAGAGACGAUUUUUAGCUUUUCUUAGAUUUUAACUAAUAAAAGCUAAAAUCUAAGAAAUGCUAAGAAUUGUCUCUUAAAUAAGAGAUAUGAGAGCCGUCUCUUAUCCGAAAAGCGUAAAAAUAAAAAAAAAUGUCAAAUCAUGGGUUAAAAACUCAGAGGCCAUGGUUAAUAUCAUGCCCUAAAGUCCUUUAAAGGUGGCUUCCAGCUUAGAAGUGUCGAAACAAAAGUAAACAAAUUAUUGAGCAGUGAUUUUAUUGGAUUUUCCGAACAAUUUACAAAGUCGGUCAGUGUCUAAGGCCUGUUCGUUUAUUAAACGCCACGUCUAACACUUGCGACUGAAAUUUUAAGGGAAAACGAGAAAAUUUACAGACGCGAGAAAAAAAAAUGGAAAAGCAUCCAUGUUUUUCAGCCGCAUGAAAGAGAGAAAAAAGAUGAACGGUGACGCUAUUUAUUUCAGCGGCACAAACAUCACCGGAAUCCGUCGAUUAUUGUAACGCGCGUUCUCUAUUUUCCUUCACCAGCGACCAGCGCAUAAGAAAAUUACGAACAAAUUUCAGUCGCCAGAGUUGGUCGCCGCGUUUAAUAAACGAACAAUGUAAGGCCGGUUGGCAAGUUAUCUCUAUAGUCUAUACUACGCGUGGACGAGAGUGUUGGGCUGGAACACGCCAUAUAGAUGGGCCUAAAAUAUCAGUUUAGGUUGUCAAUUUUUCAAUUUCUAAAAAUAUUUUUUAAUUUAUAAAAAGAAAGAACUAUAAAUGGGAUCUUAAAAUACUGCAAAAGAACAAUUACUUUAUCGUUAGUUGAGUGGUUCGAAAUAUCUAAGAAAAGUAAAAUCCCAUAUGAUUAAAUUCAAUGAAACUAGAAAAAUAACACAAAAAGUCAAUCUAACUGAAAAUUAACAGAAGAAGAAAACAUUUGCAAAAAUAUAUAUAAGGAAAAGAAAGAUAGACGCCAGAAAUUGAUGGCAGCUGUGUGUGAGUGUGUGUGAUCAACAAAACCACUACCCAAACCAUAAACCUCCCAACUUCCCCCACAUAAAAAACAACAAAACCACUUUCUUCUCCUCCUCUUGUUCUUUGUUUCAUUCUUCUUCCUUCAACAAUCAUACACACACAACCAGUCAACCCUAAUAAUAGUAUUCAAUGGAUGGUCUGAUUCCAAUGGCGUUUAAGGCUAUGAUGAAAAAACGAACUCGGCGGCGUUACGAAUGCCUCUCUACCUCUGGUGGCACUACAAAAGAGUCCUACGUUGACGAAGACUUCUUCCCCUACGACGAAAAAUCCAAUCACUCCGUCGCAUCUCGACCGUCGUCGUCUUUAGAUCAUGUAGAAAUGAACAACGUAGCCGCUCAAGACCGUCACCGCCGUGGAUUGUCAGUCGGAGAUUUUUCUUCCAUGUCUUAUCAUGAAGGGAGAAGGUCACGUGGCGAAGGCGGAGAUAUAGGUGUUUCUCCGUCGCGGCGAGGACAGCUUGUGAGGAACAGAAGUCAUAGGUUGUUUUCUUGUGUCUCAGGUAAAUGAUUUAUCGAAACACAUAUUGUAACACUUCAACUCAAUAAACCAGCUGCUUUAUUUCCUUUUUAUGUCAGAUCUUGUUUUGUCUUUUGAUAUUUUUUCCUCUAAAAGAUCUGUACUUGUCGGCUGAUAUUGUUCUUCAUGUGAUAAUUUCCGAUAUUGAUUGUGUAAAGUUUUGGGGUUUGGUUUGGAAAGAUAUGAUUUUAGAGGGCUAAAAAUAAAUUUCGAAAAGAGUUAGUGGUCCACUAACGUAAUAUUUAAUUAAUUCUCAAAAGGCUAGUUGACCAAAUACAGUCGACGUUACGUUGUCUCGUACUCGGUGUUUGUUUGAAAACUGCGUAUGAACGUGUACUAUAUAACAUGCAUAUAAAAUUGAAUAAAGAAAUGCUUCAUAAAACAACCUUGCUACUUGCUGUAUUCCUCUGAUUGUACCCAAACUACACGUCAAAAAGUCUAUUAAUAAAAAUUUAAAUUUAAAUUGAACUAAGAAAAUUCAUCUAAGAGCAAAGUUAUCCUAAACAAUCAUCCUGCUAAAAUUAAUUUAUUAAUUUAUUGGAAAUAUCUUAGUUGAAUCAUUUGAUUAAUAGAUUAUUCAUACUUAUAUGAGGGAUAUGUUUGAGUUUUUUUUUUAAUUGAAAUGUGAUUUAUCAUCAAUUAUUAUAAAUAAAUUACAAUUUAUAUAAACUUUGAUUGUUGUCAAAAAAAAAUAUAUAUAAACUUUGAUUAUAAUGUAACUAAACCCGUGAGUUCUUAUAAAGAUCAUAAAAUGUAUCAUAUAAUAAUUCUCACAACUUCAAUUUAAAAAAAUUAUGUUAAAAUUUUUCAUGGUAUGCUAAAUGGAACUGUGAAGGUAUCAAAUAUUUUUAGUUUAACUUUCGUUUACAUAAUGUAUUUUUUUUGGUAAAAAUGUUAAGAUUUAUUACCAGGUUUUCAAGUUUUUUACAGAAAAUUACAGAGAUAAACAAGAAACAGAAGAAAAUAAAUAAUUUAAACACAAUACUCAAACCUAACUAAACAGGGACAGACUCAAGCUGAGCAUCAUAGGCAAAUGAUACAAGAAAUCUGAACAAUCGCUUGCCACAAAAUGGAACACGCAGUGAUAGCGAGAGAUGAACCCGGUAGAAUUCGGCAAUGCCCGAUGAUCAUCUCUUUAAGAUCGGGUUCUUCAAGAACAGCUUGCGACGACAUCAAGUCUUGUAGCUUCACGGACCGACACCUUCACACAAGACCAAGAACACCUGCUGAGACCAGGUCGAGCUUUAUUCGGAAAGAAGCCGUCAAAGCCGCCACAGACCACCGCACCUGCACCAAAAAGACCGAGACAAAAAGCACCGCUUUUAGCCAAAGCGGUCAGGAGACAUCCCAAGAUCAAUCCCCAGAAACUUGCAGGCCCAGCACACGCCGCCACCGAGCAGAGCAACUGUGGUUGACAAAUCCAACGAGUCGCCUCUUCGCACGCGCCCCCGCUACAGAAAACCCGCAACAAAUCCAUCUGGCUAGGAACCGAUGGCAACUCCGACAAGCCCCAGAGAGUCACGGUCUGACCAGCUUGACAAGACGACGCCAGGGACCACCGAGGAAGCAGGAGGAACACCGCAACUCCACCACCCAGGGAGACCAACGCCGCCUUCAGCCUAGCUAGACCACUCACCCGCACCGAGAAGAGAAACAGAGGAGGCAGAAGAAAGGGAGGCCCAUCUGCGAUAUCCAGAUCUGACGCCAGAUCUAGACCACUACCACCACGAUUUCCAAGAGACAACCUCACAUCCACUCCACCACCACGAUUCUCCGGCGUUACGAAGUCAACGCGCCAGAUCUGUCCGCGGAAGCGCAAGACCCAGAAGCCCCAAGAAAGGAAUCGAGGAGAAGGAAGGAGAGGAGAGGCGAGGAGAAGGAAGAAUCAAUCAUGGAAGGGGGCGACCGACGAUGGAGGAGGAGGCCGCCGGCCACCCUAAGCAAGAGGCGAUUUAGGGUUUUGUUUGAAAGGAUUUAGAGAGAGAGCAAUUGGGGUCCUGCUUUUCUAAAUAGAGUUCUUUACGUAAUGUAUUUUAUAAGGAAUAAGUUGUAAUCCUCUUGUAUACAGUUUUUUAAUCCAAUUUUUUUAAAAAAAUUUGAUUGAAAAAUGUUGCUUUACAUACACGUAUCCAUGUAUCCAUGUAAGACAGUAGAAACAUCCAAAAUAGAGGCUCCUCUUUUGUCAAAGUUGCAUCAGAAAGGUCAUAGUCCGAAUGGUCCCGAGUAUAUGUCGGGUCCAACCUUUAGUUGUUGUUGAGAUAAUUGAUUCGAUGAUUCAAUCCAAACCUACCCAACAUAAGUUUGAAGAAUUAAUUGGUCGGAAACUGGUUCAUAAUUACAAAGUGUUAUGAAAUAACUUAUAAUUUAUAGUAUUGAGAAAUUUAAAUAAGAAUAGAAAUUAAUACCCGUAGGAAGCAAAUAACACUAAUAUAAGUGAGAGAAUUUAUUAUAAGUAAGAAUAAAAAGGUGUAAUGGUGUACAAAAGAGUGAGAUGAGUGAUGGUAUUUAUAGUGAGCAAUAAUACAUAAAAUAUCAAAAAUGAUGCUUGAUUUAGUAAAUGAGUGGGUGAUCAUAGUGCUUGAUGAGUAGAUGAUCAUAGUGCUUGAGUUGGUAAAGGACUGGAGGAUCAUUUCAAAGUUUAUAUACAGUGAAACAAUAGAGACAGAAAAAACAAAUUAAAUCAUAUGGAAGUCAACUAUGUGCAUCCAAAAAGUAACUAAAGCCAUAACAGUUUCGUUGACUUGUCUUUCCGGACCUUCCGGUCCUAUUUCUAUUUCUACUUCUUCAUGUGAUUAUCAUUUACUUACCACUCAUAUGGAAACAAACAUCUACUAGAAGAAAUGUUCUUAUAGAUGAUGAACAUAAGCUCACGAAGAACACAAAAAUUUAACUUAAUUUAAUAUAUAUACCAAUACUAAUUAUCAAAUGGUUUAGAGAUUUUCUGUUCAGCAAGCUCUAGAGAUUGUAGGUUUUCUCUCUAAACAUGUUUUUAACUCUCUUCCGACUCAACAAACACAAUAACAAGAUUCUUUUUCAUGAGCCCACCUGUGACCACUGCAAAAGAAAAAAAACAUGUCAGAGAGGUUACAAACGAAGAUCAUCAUCAUCCUUAGGAAGCUUUUUGAUUAUUCUCCAGCUGCUUGAGAUUAUCCACGUGUUGCAAGUAGUUUUGAACGGCCAACAUCCUACAGAAAAUGGUUACAAGAGAUGAUAAAAACGUCAGAUAUAUUCCAAGAGGAGAUGCAAAACCAUGAAAGUAUUUGUUGAUGGUCAUCUAAACGAAUCGAUCAUCAACACGAGGAUGAUCAAUAUGCAUAGAUGUCAAUCAACAAACACAUUCAAGGGUUGCAAAAGAGAGUAACCAACCGAUGAAUUUCAUGGAAGUUAGAGAUGUAUAAAAACAAGUUUGGGAAUGUGAAAGUACAGAAUAUUCUUUGGAUAUUCUUAAGCAUAUGCUUUGGAAUAAACCUUUUCUCUAAUUCGAGAGGAUUCUUAAUGGCAACCAUGAUGAAAUGAAAACUCAAGAAGUAAAAAAGAAUCAGAACUCUCUUCUCGAUGAUUUGAUUAAUCAAAGUCUGAAAAUGUUCUUUAAAAUAUUACAAUGGCCUUUUCAAAUGUAAGACGAGACUAUAUGUCAAACUGUUCUUAUGGAUGAUGAACAUAACGUUUACAUUAUAGUACAUCAUAAGAAUGCUGGCUUCAUUUUUUAAAAUAACUCCUUGAUAAAUUUUUGAUCUUUAAGGUUAUAAAAUUGGGAACAGAAGACAUAAUACCAUUAAAAGUUGUCAACAAAGAACAUAUACAAGUUAAAAAAACAUACAAUGAAAGCUUUCCUGGAAGAUGUUGUGAUGUUACCAUUGGACGUGUGUUCCAAGUGAAGGUGUUGGAUGUUCUUGGUUAUGAAGGAAGUGCUAAAGAGUUUGAACACUUGAAGAGUUUGCUUGGGGGGUAUGGAGUGUGAAGACGUGGUUUUCAAGCCAGUUAUGAUGAGUGCACAUGCAUAGUCAAAAAGGGGGAGAUUGAAGAUGCAGUCUGCUGAGAUGUUUUGUUUCAGUUCGUGAAGUACUACAGAAGGUAGUACAGGCGUGCGUCAUGAAGAUGGAGCUGAAUGGGAAUUUGAGUUUUGUGAUUGCGUGAACUUGCUGAGCUUGGAAAAGGAAAGAUGAUAUAUGUUUGAAGACAUAUAGACGUUUUCCAUAAAGCAAAAGAGAGUUGCUUGAAGAUGAAGUUUUCCAUUAAAGAAAAUGGAAAGUUGUCUUAAGUGUAUUUGGAAGACUUGGAGAGCAAGUUGAAGACGUGGAGAGCAAGUUCUGGUAGCUAUGUAAGGACGGACGUGCCUUAUGAGACAGCAAGACCUCAUAGAAGAGAGAGAGAGAGAGGUUUCCUUGGUGUGUGGUACUGCUUGGUGUCGAAGGAUAUUCUGAAGCAUUUUCUGAUGGAGUCCGAUGUGGACUUAGUUUGGUGGCGUUUGAGUUGGCGCUUUGGGUGGUGGAGUUAGCCAUCAUGUGUAGCUCGUGUGAGCUUUGUGUGUGCUUGGUUGAUCAAGCGUUUUGGUGUCACUGGGUUGCGUUGGGUGCUGACGUACUUGGUGAAGUACUUCUGAGAAGUGGAAGAUUGAAGCCUAGACUCUGGGGGAGUUUAGAAAUGGCGGUUUCAUUGAAGAGAUCUGUGAAGAUUGCAGCUGUAGAAGACAGUGUGCUCCGGUGAGCCGGAUGGUGAUCUAUGCAUGCGUGCUUGAUUCAUAAUCUUUGUAGAUUGCUACUUAGAAAAGAGUGGUAAACACUAGUGUGUGUGUUGUAUCAUAUAGCAAUUGUAGGUUGCUCCUUGUUCUAAGUCGAUGAAAUCUGGACGAGGUCCCGGGGAUGUAGGAAACGAACCCCGUUAACAAAUUUUGUGUGUUUUACUUUCUGCACUUGUUUUUCGUCGCCUCAUCUGCACUAACAGAGUGCAUCGAAAAAAUGCGAGUGGAGUUAAUUGUACAAUCUUAUAUAUUAAAACAAAAGUAACAACCUUGAUUCAUGUGUGAUUUUUUUUAAAAAAUGAACAUAAUAGACCUAUUCAUAUAUAGUCAUGUUACAUUUAAUCUCUAAUCUUAUCAUUUAAAUUUUGGACCUACCAGAAAUUUUUAUUGGACUAUCAAUAAUUGGAUUUAAAGAAUAGAUGAUCCAUUGAAUUUAUAGAUAGUAUAAAUUAAAUAGAUAUAAUUUAAAUAUGUAUAAUUUAAUGUUGUAAUACUAUACCUCCAUAUGUUAAAUAUUUAAAUAUUUGUCGAUGUUAACUUUUAAAAUUAUAAAGAUUUUUUUUUAAAUAACAAAAAUCAUACUAUCUAACGAUGAUUAAUUUUUAUUUCCCUAAACCAAUGAAAACAAAUUUUAAACUAUAUAGUUUUUUAAAAAAUUAAACAAAAACUAAAUGCUUAAUUAUUUACUCGAUAAUAUAAAUCUAUGAAGCGAAAAGUUUAAUUUUUAAAAAACUUUAUAAAUUUGUGAAAUAUUACAAUAUCUUUGAAUAUGAUAAUAAAGUAAUAUUUUACUAAUCUUUACAAUAUAGUUAUGAUUUUAAUAAUGAAAUAAUAAUAUGAAAAUAUAUAUAUAGAAGAAGAUACAAAUACAUGUGAAAGUUUAUAACAAUCUAUUCAAUGAAAAAAAUAUAUCGUAAACUUAUUAUGUUUUAAAAAUUGAUAGACACAUAUAUUAUAAUAUAUACCAAUUUAGAAUUGAAAAUAAAAUAUUUAUAUAAAAAUAAAUGAAAACAAAAAUCUGCGCGGUUGCGCGGAUCGAAAUCUAAUGAUGAUGUUAUAGUAAUAAUAAUGAUGAUGUUGACAUGAUUAUGGUGGUGAAGUUAUAGCGACGAUGAUGAUAAUGGUAUAACGGUACCAAUUCAUUAAGUUCAAAAUUAACUCAUAUGGUGCUAAUGUGUAUGUUUUAUUGAAUUUUUGUCACUUUUUCACUCAAUUUUUUUUUUUGGGUUUAGUUAUGUAAACCAUUGAUAUAUAUAUACCUUUAACGUAAGCAUUGAUAUAAAAUGAUAUUCUCUGUUUUAUAAUAUAAGUAGUUUUAUCAAAAAAAAAUUGUUUCACAAUAUAAGUAGUUUUAACUUUUCAAUGAAACUUUUAUAUUUAUUAUAUAUUGUAUGACCAAUUAAAUUAUGUAUUUUUUUAUAAUUGGUUGAAAUUAUAUAUUAAAUGUUAUUUUUUAAUAAGUAACCACUUUCUUAAUAUUGAUUAUUUUAGCUUAAAACUAUUUACAAUUUGAAACUACAAAAUAGAUAAGAUUUCAUAAAUAAUUGACUCUUUUAAUAGGUAUUUACAUUUUUUUAUGCGCAUUACUCGGACCACUCACCCGCACCGAGAAGAGAAACAGAGGAGGCAGAAGAAAGGGAGGCCCAUCUGCGAUAUCCAGAUCUGACGCCAGAUCUAGACCACUACCACCACGAUUUCCAAGAGACAACCUCACAUCCACUCCACCACCACGAUUCUCCGGCGUUACGAAGUCAACGCGCCAGAUCUGUCCGCGGAAGCGCAAGACCCAGAAGCCCCAAGAAAGGAAUCGAGGAGAAGGAAGGAGAGGAGAGGCGAGGAGAAGGAAGAAUCAAUCAUGGAAGGGGGCGACCGACGAUGGAGGAGGAGGCCGCCGGCCACCCUAAGCAAGAGGCGAUUUAGGGUUUUGUUUGAAAGGAUUUAGAGAGAGAGCAAUUGGGGUCCUGCUUUUCUAAAUAGAGUUCUUUACGUAAUGUAUUUUAUAAGGAAUAAGUUGUAAUCCUCUUGUAUACAGUUUUUUAAUCCAAUUUUUUUAAAAAAAUUUGAUUGAAAAAUGUUGCUUUACAUACACGUAUCCAUGUAUCCAUGUAAGACAGUAGAAACAUCCAAAAUAGAGGCUCCUCUUUUGUCAAAGUUGCAUCAGAAAGGUCAUAGUCCGAAUGGUCCCGAGUAUAUGUCGGGUCCAACCUUUAGUUGUUGUUGAGAUAAUUGAUUCGAUGAUUCAAUCCAAACCUACCCAACAUAAGUUUGAAGAAUUAAUUGGUCGGAAACUGGUUCAUAAUUACAAAGUGUUAUGAAAUAACUUAUAAUUUAUAGUAUUGAGAAAUUUAAAUAAGAAUAGAAAUUAAUACCCGUAGGAAGCAAAUAACACUAAUAUAAGUGAGAGAAUUUAUUAUAAGUAAGAAUAAAAAGGUGUAAUGGUGUACAAAAGAGUGAGAUGAGUGAUGGUAUUUAUAGUGAGCAAUAAUACAUAAAAUAUCAAAAAUGAUGCUUGAUUUAGUAAAUGAGUGGGUGAUCAUAGUGCUUGAUGAGUAGAUGAUCAUAGUGCUUGAGUUGGUAAAGGACUGGAGGAUCAUUUCAAAGUUUAUAUACAGUGAAACAAUAGAGACAGAAAAAACAAAUUAAAUCAUAUGGAAGUCAACUAUGUGCAUCCAAAAAGUAACUAAAGCCAUAACAGUUUCGUUGACUUGUCUUUCCGGACCUUCCGGUCCUAUUUCUAUUUCUACUUCUUCAUGUGAUUAUCAUUUACUUACCACUCAUAUGGAAACAAACAUCUACUAGAAGAAAUGUUCUUAUAGAUGAUGAACAUAAGCUCACGAAGAACACAAAAAUUUAACUUAAUUUAAUAUAUAUACCAAUACUAAUUAUCAAAUGGUUUAGAGAUUUUCUGUUCAGCAAGCUCUAGAGAUUGUAGGUUUUCUCUCUAAACAUGUUUUUAACUCUCUUCCGACUCAACAAACACAAUAACAAGAUUCUUUUUCAUGAGCCCACCUGUGACCACUGCAAAAGAAAAAAAACAUGUCAGAGAGGUUACAAACGAAGAUCAUCAUCAUCCUUAGGAAGCUUUUUGAUUAUUCUCCAGCUGCUUGAGAUUAUCCACGUGUUGCAAGUAGUUUUGAACGGCCAACAUCCUACAGAAAAUGGUUACAAGAGAUGAUAAAAACGUCAGAUAUAUUCCAAGAGGAGAUGCAAAACCAUGAAAGUAUUUGUUGAUGGUCAUCUAAACGAAUCGAUCAUCAACACGAGGAUGAUCAAUAUGCAUAGAUGUCAAUCAACAAACACAUUCAAGGGUUGCAAAAGAGAGUAACCAACCGAUGAAUUUCAUGGAAGUUAGAGAUGUAUAAAAACAAGUUUGGGAAUGUGAAAGUACAGAAUAUUCUUUGGAUAUUCUUAAGCAUAUGCUUUGGAAUAAACCUUUUCUCUAAUUCGAGAGGAUUCUUAAUGGCAACCAUGAUGAAAUGAAAACUCAAGAAGUAAAAAAGAAUCAGAACUCUCUUCUCGAUGAUUUGAUUAAUCAAAGUCUGAAAAUGUUCUUUAAAAUAUUACAAUGGCCUUUUCAAAUGUAAGACGAGACUAUAUGUCAAACUGUUCUUAUGGAUGAUGAACAUAACGUUUACAUUAUAGUACAUCAUAAGAAUGCUGGCUUCAUUUUUUAAAAUAACUCCUUGAUAAAUUUUUGAUCUUUAAGGUUAUAAAAUUGGGAACAGAAGACAUAAUACCAUUAAAAGUUGUCAACAAAGAACAUAUACAAGUUAAAAAAACAUACAAUGAAAGCUUUCCUGGAAGAUGUUGUGAUGUUACCAUUGGACGUGUGUUCCAAGUGAAGGUGUUGGAUGUUCUUGGUUAUGAAGGAAGUGCUAAAGAGUUUGAACACUUGAAGAGUUUGCUUGGGGGGUAUGGAGUGUGAAGACGUGGUUUUCAAGCCAGUUAUGAUGAGUGCACAUGCAUAGUCAAAAAGGGGGAGAUUGAAGAUGCAGUCUGCUGAGAUGUCAUAUGUGUGUGUGUGUUUCAGUUGAUUUCUCGAUGUGUUAAACAUGGACUAGUUUUACCGGUGUUUAACAAUCUGGUUACCUUAUCUUUUGGGAGUAAAAACAAACGUGGUUGGAAACUGCUGCCAUAUCUGCUUAAGCACUCUCCAAAGCUUGAAACAUUAAUCAUCCAGGUAAUGUUGUUGUUUUUCACUAAUAAUCGAAACCCCCCUAGAGACCCCCCGGAACUUACUUGCUCACUUCUUCUUCUUCUUUUUCCCCCAGGGUCUGGAUAGUUACACAGGCGAUGUUACCAUUGGUCUGUUCCAAGUCAAGGAGCUGCAUGUUGUUGGUUAUAAAGGAACUGCUAAGGAGCUUCAACACCUGAAGAGUUUGCUUGCAGGAACCGAAUGCAUCCCGAAAAUGCAAGUGGAGUUCCCUGAAGAUGUUGUGGUCGAUGAUGCCAAAAUGAUCCAAACCCGUAGGGAUUUAUUUAUCCUUGUCGGAGUUGUUUCAACCGAUGUCGCUUAUUUCGAGUAGACCUUUGUGUACCAUUAAACCACAUUAUUUAUUGGGAAAAUUGCCAUGACUCACAACUUGAUUUAUAUUACAAAAGUAAACUCAAACUUGAAUCAAAUGCAAAAGUAACCUAAAAGGAUAUUGAAAUUACAACCAGCCAUUUGUGAAGAAACAAAAAAAUCAAAUUUUUUUUUACGUUUCUGACCCUCGUAAGUCGUCUAGACAGACGACUUUGUAGUAGACGAUUUACUGGAAAGUCGUCUGGACUAAUUAUACUUUGAAAUAAUUUAAAAAUUUUGUAAAAAAUAUUUUGAUAAGUGAAAAAUUGAAAUCAUGUAAUUAACAAAUGUUUUAAGAGAUAUAAAUUAAGAUAUAACAAAAGUUAAUUGUUUUCAACAUAGAUGAUUGAAAGUAGUGAGUCAUGAUAUUCUUUGGUUUAGGCUUUGCCAACAUAUGUUGUAGUUUUGUAUGUGUUCUUAGGGUUAGAUUUUGGAAUGCAUAAAUGUUUUUUGAAAAAUUUAAAAUUUACGUAAGUGUGUUUAUUUAUGUGUAUAGUAAACGCUAUUUAAGUAUAACUACGACUUACUGGUGUACAUUAUUCAAUAGACGACUUACUAGUAAGUCGUCCAAACCGGACCGAACCUUUAGUUUUACAAUGUACUUUUAAACCUAUCAGCCGUCAUAAUUGUUUACCAAGCAUCGUUGUGUUGAAAUCAGUGAUAUCUUUAAACUGUAAACCUCCAUCGUCCUUACUAAUACAUAUUUUAUCACAUGAUUUCCAAUGCAUUCCUCUUGUAUUACCGCCAUGGCUCCACCAAAAUUGUGCUACCGCACUCGUCAGUUUUUUUGCAGUAGCUUUGGGUAAACGAUAGCAAGACAUCACAUGAUUUGGCAAAGCCUUGAUCACUGAUUUGAUGAUCACUUCCUUUCCUCCUUUCGUAAAGAACUUAAAUGUCCAGCCAUUGACCAUAUUAUUUAGCUGAUCUUGUACGAAGACAAAAACUUGUAUCUUAGAACCCCUAAGACUUUCCGGCAGGCCUAGAUAAGUUUUCAUCCCUCCCAAAUUCUGUAUGUCCAAAAUAUCUCUUAGCUUUUGUCUGGCAGAUUCUUCGAUCUUGUGCUCAAAUUGAAUUGGAGACUUAUCAAAGUUUAUUAGUUGAUCUGAUGCUAUCUCAUAUUCCUUUAAAAUCCUGAGAACGGUGUGGCACUAAGAUUAAAAAAACAACAACAUAUACUAAGAUAAAUAUCACUUAUACAUUAUCUAUAUUAUCAUUAAUUUAUAAAGUAUAAUAAAAGAUAGAUUAUAUUCCACAUCCGGUAACAAAUAUAAUUUAAAAUUACCAGUAACAAAUAUGAUUUUAAAACAGAAUAAUAAGAAUUGGUUCUAACUCGUCAAAGUUACAAAAUUUAUUCAAAAAGUAUAUAAAUAAUUAAAAUCUUGAAAUAGCUAUAUUAUUUAAAUUAAUGACUCAGAGAAAACUAAUAAUAAAUUAAUGACUUAGCUUAAUCCUAAUAAAAUCAUGGAAAAUAGCAAAAUUAAGUAAAAUCAUGGAGAAUGUGACAAAUAAACAAAAUCAAAAUAAUUAUACAUCUCGUUACAAAUUUUAUAGUUAUAUAAUUUAAAUUAAUAAAUUAAUUACUCAGCUAAAAACUAAAAAUAAUUUAAUGACUAUGCUAUAACCUAAUAAAAAUAUGACAAAUAAGCAAAAACAACUAAAAUCAUGGUUAAAACAUGACACAUAAGCAAUAUCAAAAUAAUUAUAUACCUCAUUACAAAUUUCAUAGUUAUAUUAUUUAAAUUAAUCAAUUAUUGGCUGAGAAAAAAACUAUUAAUAAAUUAAUGACUCAGUUUAAACCUAAUUAAAACAUAAUAAGUAAGCAAAAUUUUCUAAAAUCAUGGAAAUAAUGACAUAUAAGUAAAAUCACUUCAUAAAUAAUAGUAUAGAUAAGUAUAAUAUUUAAGUUAGUUAUUAUGCUAUAAUUCUUAUUUUAUAUAUUUAUUGGGAUAGUUGAAUAUUUUGGAUGAUUAUCCGAGAUUAAUUUUGAAUUUGGUAUUAUUAUUUUUGAGCUUCUACUUUUUUUUUGUUUUUAAAUUUUUUUUUUUCGAAUUCAUAUUUGGUUUGGAUAAAAUCUAAAAUUCGAAAUGCCUUACAAUUUCAGAUAUAUAUGUCAUAUUAAAUUUGGUUUGAAUUCUCACUUUUUGUUCGGUUUAGUCUUUUAUCGUCCCUACUUUUUCUAUUAUAUAUAGAUGUUGUUUAUUUUCACUAAAAAGGAAAAUUAAUAGAGCAAUCACGGCUUAAACAAAUAUUAAUGGUCUAUAUAUUAUUAAAUUCUUUGGUAACAAAAGAAUAAACAAAAUGAAAUUAGAGCGCGCGCAGUCCCCAGUCUUGUUGUCAACAGACCUCAAUUAGGUCGUGAGCAGUCCUAGGAUCACUCUCGAGUCUCGAGUCGCGCAUCUCACGAGUCGCGCAUCUCUCGCGUCGCUUCCGCUUCAGUCACUCUCGUCGUUUCGUCACUCGCGUCUACUUCAAUGGUUAUUAACCUUUUCUUGCUUUUUUUUUUUUUUUAAAAAUAAUUUAUGUAGGAUCUAGAUUGUUUGCUAUUUACCCACUCGAUCUGUUCCUCGAUUGAUUGAUAUUUACUCCUUGAGAAUACUAUUGUCUUCGAUUCUCAGGGUAGUAUUCUUGUUUUUGCUCCUCAAAGCCAUACUGCUCAAGCUCGCAUUCGGAGCUAGCUUUACUUGGCGAACAAGGCAGGAACGCAAUUGUUAUUGCUGAUGGGAUGAAAGAUCAAGAAAUCAAUGAGAUUUCUGGCAAGAUUGUACGGUCCACAGUGCAAGGGAAACGAUGCGGUAUUCCUCACGUGUAUCCAGUGGCGGAGCCACAUGCAUCAAGAUGGGGGCCACUGAACCCAACAAAACUUUGAAAAUUAGUGUAUGUUAUUGAAUUUUAAUCUGUAUGCCCCCGUUCAGAAAUUUUUUUUGACCCCAUAUCUUUGUUUAACCAUUAAGCCCAUUUGAAAAUUUAGAAAAAAACUAUUAUAAUUAAGUCUACUUAAUAUUUAUGCCCCCAAUAAAAAUAUUUUUUGCCUCAGCCACUGCGUGUAUCCUAACGAUCUGUGCAGUAAUCCUUGGGAGCUUGCGGGCUUUGUCUUCAACAGGGAGCUCGAGUUGGAUGAAACACGCAGAUCAUGGGGUUUUUUUCUGUGAAAAUAACCCUGAGGAUUUUGGAACAAUCUGGAAACUAAGCGGGGUUCCAAAGAGAUUUCUGCUGGAAUCUACUGUCAAAAGUACAUCUUGAAACCGGAUUACGUAUCUCCUGGUGGUCGUUUUCUGCUAUCUGGAUGACGUUUGUGGCGGCUGAGCCUAAGGUCCUGAGAUUUUAUUGUAGGGACAGUGUGUACUCAGUUACUCAUAUAUAUAUCAAUCUUAUUCUUAUGACAGGUAGAGUCUGAGGAGGAUGGUAAGGUUACUGUUGUAACAUCUGAGUGAGGGAGAGACCUCCAAACGCAAACAAAUCGAGUGUGACCCUUCCCAACUGCCCAACAAGGUAACAUUGUACUUCUUCUUAACCUUGUCAUUUGAAUUAUGAUUAUGGAAUGCCUUCACCUUCAAACAGGUUACGAAGAUUGGCAGAGUUGAUGCAUGGGGCCAUGGAAAAUCCAAACACCAAUGUCUCUCAUUCACUACAUGUCUUGGCUCACAAAUCAGACAUGUGAGUUCCUUUGUUUUUCUACUUUCAAUGAUCUGUGGUAAGCUCGCUACAAGAUUUUCGCUUGAAAACGAAAACAAUAUAUUAAGUAGGGUCCUGGAACACUCUUUAGACCACAACUUUGUUGCACACACUCUCGCACAAACAACUAUUUGCCAUGUUUGGAAAAUAGAAUGAUGUUUGUUUUGCCAUUUGUCAUCAUUCUCAUCAUACGGUUUAUUCAAAUUUUCGGUUGUUCUCUGCACACUGACAGGUAUGUCUUCUGUUUGUACUCCCACAACGUCGCUGCUAAGGGAAAAUUCAUCGCAUUUGUGUCGACAGAUGCAGAGACUGAGAACCCUCAAACCGAACUAGAGGCUGGAAUUGAUCUUUUGUGUCCUGUUGAUGAGAUAUUCUUCUACCUGUAUGAUAGAUACAAGUCUCUCAACGUGCCAUCUUGGGGCAACUGCUUUAUAUCAACGGUGAGCCAGCUUAUUAUCUAUUUUAGAUUGGGUGGAUUCUAAGUAACUAACCCUUUCCUUGUUGGUCAUUAACAGAGCUAUGAUGCUACAGCACAACUGUUGCUCAUGUGUUGAACAUGUAUACCCUAAUCACCGGAGAGGUAAAUGUUCUGACAUUCUUCACUACGGAUGUAUGUUAGAUGCGAAUUGAGAUGGAGACAAGUCUCGUGUUUCUUUAUGUCACAUCAACUUUGUGUGUGGAAUUAAGUAAGUGCAAUUUGCUAGCUCUAUGCGAAAUUUCUGCACGAUUCUGAUUGUAUGAUUUGAGCUUUUGCAUUUCGAUCUUUAUGUAGAUGAGAUGUGAUGGAAAGUGAUUGCUUUCGUUUGAUUUCCCCACGAUCUUAUUUUUGAGAAGGCAUUGUCUUUGGUAGACUGAUUACAAUGUUAACAUGAUGAUGGCAUUCAUUAUAAUGUAUGUUAACGAUAUUAUGUUAAUGACUCAUGCACAAGUUUUCUGGUUAUGUUCAGGAUUACAACGAGAAGGACUCCAAAACACACAGCGGAAUGGUUGACAACACUAUUGCAAUUAUGAGCCACCCUAUUCCAAACACCAAAGACCCUUGUUCAGUGCAUGUCAUCAUUUCCCAGAGGCAGUUGGCCCACAAAUCAGACAUGUAAGUUCCUUUCUUUCUGUUUUCUCAAGCUCCAUUAUCAUAUUGACAUGUCUUUAAGCUUGCUAUAAGAUUUUCGUUUGUACACAGCUUGAAAAUGAAAGCAAUAUUAACGCUGGUCGUGAAUCCCUCUUUAGACCACAACUUCAUUGCAAAAACAGAUAAUUAUUUUGCCAUGUUUAGAAAAUACAAUGAUGUUUGUUUUGCCAUUUGUUAUCAUUCUCUUCAUAUUAUUAUUUUUCUUUAAAAUUUUCUGACGUUGGUUCUCACGUUGUGAGACUUGUUGUACACACUUACAGGUAUGUCUUCUGUUGUUCAUACUCCCACAACGUGGCCCCCCAAGGGAAAGUUCAUCAUCGCAUUUGUUUCUAACAGAUGCAGAGACUGAUAACCCUCAACCCUGAAGCAAGCUUCAUAUGAUUGAUAACGACGGUCUUUAGUAGAGCAAUUUUCUGUGCCACCAUAUAUGUGUUUUUGAAACUAAUGACCCUAAUCAGAUUUGGUUUGAUAUAUAUCUGUUUUCUAAAGCAGUUAUCCUAAUCUAGUAAUCACAUAAGAUUCCCAGUAACCAAGAACAACCAAGUAAUAAACGGAUUAUCCGAGUGAUAAUGAAUAGGCAGAAGAACAAAUGUUGUAAAAGAUUAUAAAUUCCACUUUAAAAAGAAGCAAAUAAAGUUAUGGGUUUACAAAAAGAAAAGCGGCAAGGGCAAUGUGCAUAAAUAAAUAUAUGAGUUUAAUGUUGCACAAUAUUUAUACAAGCUUAGAGUACAUCGAUCUUGCACUUGGACGAAACUUCCUUAUUGGUUUAUGAACUUGUGGCAUCAUCCAAGAAAACUCUUCAAGUGAUCCAACGCUUUAGCAGUUCAUCCACCUUCACUUGGAAGGGACGAAUGGUAGCAUUGCCUGCGUAACCCUCCAGACCCUGGAGAAGCAUCAAUCAAGAAAGAUGCGUGUAUAGGAUCAACGCAUAAUAAGUCCGUGACUGUGUAGAGAUAUUCGUUCAGAGUGUUUUUGCUUACCUGGAUGAUUAGAGUUUCAAGCUUUGGAGUCUGCUUAAUCAGAUACGGCAGCAGUUUCCAACCUCGUUUGUUGUUACUCCCAAAAUAUAACUUAACCAGAUUCUUGAACACCGGUAAAACUAGUCCAUCUUCAACACAUCGAGAAAUCACUUGCAACACACACACACAUAUGCUUUCGAGAAGCUCUUUCUCAAGUGAAAUACAUAAAGAAGACUUACAUCAGCAGAACCGGGAGAAAGAUGCAGGAUCUCCACGUUGCUUAUCCCUACAAUGAGACCCGAUGGAUCCGGAUCUUUGAUCCUUAUAGAAUAAAGAAUAUCUAGCCUAGUGAAGCAGUAAAAGGGUUAGAUAGAUAAUCUUCACUAGAGAUCCUCCGUGGAUCUUAAAUGAAGAAGAAUCAAGGACUAGAAGAUGGUAUAAAGGAUGAAGGACCACCUCGAAGCACAAGAUCCAACAGCUACAAUGGCUGACACAAGAGAGAGAUAGAGAUAAGGAUAAAAGAUGUUUUUGAUUGCCUUUCUACGUAACAACCAAAUCAGUACUUAAAGACGUGACCUCACAACGGUCAAAUAGUCAAACAGGCGACUAGAAACCGGUUUAUACAUACCGGGAAUUUAUUUGAAAUUGAAAACAUAACCGGAUAUCUCAAAUAUCCUGUAACAAUACUCCCCGUUUGAAAUCAUUCUUGUCCCCAAGAAUGGAAGUGAGGGUACUGGGCGAUGAAGUCUCUGUAGAACUCCCAUGUAGCUGUGUCAGCUGAUUUGCCCUUCCACUGGACCAGGACUUUGGUGACAGCGGCAUUUCUGUGCUUAACCAUUUUCUUCUCCAGAAUCCUGUCGGGUUCCUUUGUAAUGCCGGUAUCAAACCAGUACUGAGGGACGAUUGCAGAAGUUCCAGAGGGGUUGGGGCAUAAUUUCAGUUGGCUGACGUGAAACACGUUAUGGAUAGCUGCUGUAGGAGGAAGUUUCAAGCGAUAGGCCACCGCUCCUACUGAUUCCAGUACCUUAAAAGUACCAUAGAACUUUGGAGAGAGCUUGUGAGAGAGACCGCGUUUCUUGAGAGAUUGUUGGCGGUAAGGUUGAAGCUUUAGGUAGACAAAGUCUCCAACAGAGAAAGCUCGGGGAGAGCGGUGAGAAUCGGCGGUUUGUUUCAUCCUGUUCUGAGCUCGGAGAAGGUGAAACUUGAGCAGAGCUAUUACUUGUUCUCUCUUUUGUAGAGUCCUGUCAACCACAACGGAGGAACUUUCACCGGGGAGGUAGGGAAGGUGUAGUGGUGGAGGUUGGCCAUAGACAAUCUCGAAGGGAGUGGUGUUGAUGGCAGAGUGGUGUGUGGUGUUUUACCACCAUUAUGCUAGUGGAAGCCACUUACUCCAAGACUGAGGAGCAUCGGCUGUCAUACAACGCAGAUAGGUUUCGAGAGUUCUGUUGGUUACCUCUGUCUGACCGUCGGUUGGGGGUGAUAGGCUGUUGAGUAGCGCAAAUCCACACCAUGAACACAGAACAGUUCUUUCCAGACAUCACUGAGAAAGGUUGGGUCUCUGUCACUGACCACAUUUAGUGGUAAACCGUGCAGCUUGAACACAUUAUCCAAGUAAGCUUGAGCAACCUCGAUGGAAGUGUAAGGGUGCGAGAGGGGAAGGAAGUGGGCGUUCUUGCUCAGUCGAUCAAUAACCACCAGAAUGCAAUGUUUGCCUGAGGAAGGGGGCAAGCCUUCAACGAAGUCCAAACUGAUAGACUCCCAAACACCAUUCGGAAUAGGGAGAGGCUGAAGGAGGCCAGGUUUCGCUACUGUCUCAUACUUGUUGGCUUGACAAAUAGUGCAGUUCCUAACAUAGUUCAUGACCUCAAGACUCAUUUUAGGCCAGAAGAAGAGAGACUUAACGCGAUGGAGAGUCGCGUCUCGCCCAGAAUGACCGCCCACUGCUGAGUCAUGGAGCCAUUUGAGUAUAUGUGUCUUGAGUUCCACAUCAUUUCCCACCACAAGUUUUCCUUUGCGUCGUAGUUUACCAUUCACAAAGGAGUAUGAUGGGUGUGAAUGUGGGUUUGUUGAUAAAUCCCCAAUGAGCUUUCUGAGGUGAGGAUCGCGUUGCCACAACAACUGUAAAGAGUCGUAGAAGCCCUGAUGAGCCUGAGACAGUGUGAUGCUGAGGAGUUGAGAGCCGGAGACACGUGAGAGAGCAUCAUCAGCCACGUUGUCUUUGCCUUGUUUGUAAUGAAUCUCAAAGUCAUAACCCAUAAGCUUUGAGAGCCACAUGUGCUGGAAAGGAGUGGUAGUUUUCUUCUCAACCAUAUAUUUGAGGCUCUUCUGGUCGGUACGGAUGAUGAACUUCUUGUGUGCUAGAUAGGCAUUCCAAUACUGAACAGCAUGUACCACAGCCAGGAGUUCUUUUUCGUAGACAGAAAGAGAUUGAUGGCGGUGACCCAAGGCACGGCUUAUGUAGCAGAUAGGGUGGUUGUCUUGUAUUAGAACCGCUCCGAUGCCCAUGUUGGAGGAAUCAGUCUCAACGAUGAAAGUUUUGGAGAAAUCCGGGAGAGCAAGGACAGGUGCUGAGGACAGAGCAUUUUUGAGGUCUGUAAAAGCCUCAGUAGCAAUAUUACUCCAAUCGAACCCUUCCUUUUUAAGUAGGAUAGUCAGGGGGCGGGAGAUGAUGCUAUAACCCUUUAUGAAUCGUCUGUAGUAAUUGGCCAGGCCCAAGAAGCUUCGAAGUUGUUUCUGCGACGAGGGAGUUGGCUUGUUUCUGAUUGCUUCGAUCUUUUUGGGAUCAGUGCUCACGCCAGCAGCUGAAAUGAAAUGGCCGAGGGACUCGAUAGAAGUAGCACCGAAGGUACACUUAGAUGCCUUGAGGUAGAGUUGCUGGUGGCGAAGUAUAGCAAAGACCUCGUGAAGGUGUUGCAAGUGUUCUUCCCAACUGGAGCUGUACACGAGUAUAUCGUCGAAGAAUACCAGUAAGAACUUGCGAGAGAUCUCCUGAAAUACAUGGUUCAUCAAGCCUUGGAACGUACAGGGCGCGUUAGAGAGCCCAAAGGGCAUCACAAGGUACUCAUAGUGACCUGAGUGUGUCUUGAAGGCAGUUUUGUAGACGUCUUCAGGAGUCAUGCGCAAUUGGUGGAAACCAGCGCGCAGAUCAAGCUUAGAGAAGUAGCAAGCACCGCCCAAUUCAUCGAGAAGAUCUUCGAGGAGGGGAAUCGGAUACUUGUCCUUCACGAUUUGCUUGUUCAGCCCACGAUAGUCUACGCAGAGGCGCCAUGUUCCGUCUUUCUUUUUCACCAGAACAAUGGGUGAAGCGUAUGGAUUGGAGCUGCACUGAAUUGUACACUGAGCUAACAUGUCUUUGAUCAUACUGUCAAUAGCAUCUUUCUGAAGGGAGGAGUAGCGGUAAGGGCGUAAGUUCACCGGGUUAGCUCCUGCUUCCAAAGCGAUGUGGUGAUCAAAGCCUUCCCGAAAGGGCGGUAAGCCCACUGGUUCCUCAAAGAUGUCUGCAAAAGAGUCAAGGAGUUGUUGUAGGGCCGGGUCCUGAGAGAGUUUUGUAUGCUCAGCGGCGAUGAAUGAGAGGGAGGCGGCUUCUUGAAAGUGUGAUGAGGUAACAGGGUCCUCUAGUUCCCUAAUCCGAAGAAGAGAAAUCUGAGGUUGUUGGAGGGGGAGUUUGUUGAAGCUGCACCCGUUGAUCACUUUAUAACCAGACUUGGAAACACCGUGGAGGACGUGUUUGACCCCCUGGAAGUUGAAUUCCAUACGGAGGUUUAGGAAAUCCCAGAGGAUGGGGCCUAGUGUGCACAACCAUUGCACUCCGAGAACAAGCUCGCCGCAGUGUAGUGGAAUGGUGCGAAUCUCAGUUGUAAAUGAGUAACCUUGCACCAUCCAAGAGAACUUGUUGCACUUGAAUUUUGUUGUAAGGUCACAACCGUUAGCAGCUGCGACUGUCAUUGGCUUUAGGGGCUCAAGUUUACAGCCAAGGUCGUUGGCUACUUUAACGUCAAGAAAGUUGUGAGUACUUCCCGGGUCGAUGAGUAUGUGGAGCUUCCUCUUCCUGUACUGACCAACCACGCGCAUACAGUUGAAGCUAGAUGAACCGCUAAGAGCUUUGACAGAGAUAGUCGGAGUGGUGUUGUCAAUAUCCUCCACAGUAACUUCAGUGAUGUGCGGUUGCUCAUCAUCAGACGCAUCAUCACCGUUGUCAUCUCCUUCCAUUACAUAGAUGUGGGACCUUUUGUGUUUCAGUUGGUGCCCUGGUGUGAAAGCUUCAUCACAGAACAUACAGAGGCCUUGAGCACGGCAGUCCUGCAUUUCCUGGUAUGUAAACUUUCGAGGAGGUCUGUCAUUAACAGAGCGAGGGAUGAAGUUGGGUUUAGGGGUUUGUGUUUUAGGAUCAGGGGCGGGUAGUAAGGGUGUGGUUUCUUUGGGUUUGUAGGGGGUGAAGCUAUUUGGUUUGUGGUGAGGAUUGAAGGGAGCUCUUUGUUGUUUUGGUGGUGUUUGCGACAGAGCAGAUUCAUGAAGCUUCGCGAUCUUCGCAGCAGCAGCUAUUGUUGUGGGUUCGAACUGACGUACAUGGAGAGCAAGGUGCUGGUUCAUGUUCGUAAGGAAGAUGCUGAGUGCGUGAGCUUCAGGGAGCGCGAUUCUGGUUUUAGCGUUCUCAAACUUAUCCAGAUACGUCUCCACAGAAUCAGUGCCUUGCUUUAGAGCCACCAACUCGGAAAGGGGGUCAUCAAACAGGUCGCUGAAGCGACUCGAGAUGGCAACAAUAUAUUCCGUCCAAGAAGGAAAAAGGCCAAACCUUUCGGUCAUGAAGUUGAAGUGCCACUGGAGAGCUUUGCCACGGAGGUGCAUCGCAGCGAGGCGAACGCGUAGCUCAGGAGGUGUGUUGUCCAUUCCGAAGAAUAGAUCGCACUGGUAGAUCCAGUGGCGUAGAUCUGAACCAUCGAACAGGGGGGAGGUGAUUUUGGAGAGGCGUGAGGUAAGGCCCUGUUGUUGAUGACGGUGGUGACCAUAGUCGUUCAGAUCUGUAUGAGGGCGGUGCAACGGCGCCGGAUCUGGUGGGUCUGGAGGGCGGUUAGAGUCACCGGAGUUUGGGUCAGCGGUGGGGGAGGUGUAGGAACCGUCAGCGGGUUGUUUACCCAGAGCAGUCGUCUGAGAGAAGAAGGUAAAGAUCGUUGUUUCCAUCUUGGAAAAAUGAGUAUCCCAUGAGUCUGAGCAGAUUUUGAGCUCAUCGGACUGUCGAGCCUGAGCCAGACGCAUUCCCUCGAGCUGUUCUGCUACCGAUCGUUCUUGUAGUCUCGUUUCUACCAUCGUCCGUGAGGAUCGUUUGGCUCUGAUACCAAAUGAAGCAGUAAAAGGGUUAGAUGGAUAAUCUUCACUAGAGAUCCUCCGUGGAUCUUAAAUGAAGAAGAAUCAAAGACUAGAAGAUGGUACAAAGGAAGAAGGACCACCUCGAAGCACAAGAUCCAACAGCUACAAUGGCUGACACAAGAGAGAGAUAGAGAUAAGGAUAAAAGAUGCUUUUGAUUGCCUUGCUACGUAACAACCAAAUCAGUACUUAAAGACGUGACCUCACAACGGUCAAAUAGUCAAACAGGCGACUAGAAACCGGUUUAUACAUACCGGGAAUUUAUUUGAAAUUGAAAACAUAACCGGAUAUCUCAAAUAUCAUGUAACACCUAGCUUCCACUAGGGAAGCCAAGUUCACAUAUGUGUACUCCUCUAACGCAUAGUCGCGGUAGUUGAGGGACACAAGACUUGGGGUGUCAAACGACAUACCACCCCUUAAAAGCUCAAAGUCAUAGUAAAUUGAUAGCUUCUUGAUGUUCGAACUACAUAUACAGAAUGAGGUUCCUUCACAAUUUUCGUGAUGUACAUAUAACUCCUCCAGCACAGGACAACCACUUAGAAGCACAUCACACAUAUCGUCACCAUCAAAAACAAUAGAGUCUAUGACGAGGCUCUUAAGCGCUGGAAGAUACGCAUCUGGUUCGAACUUGUCGAGAUAUAUUUGUGUUCCCAGUGUCAGCUUAACCAGAGUCUUGCUCGUUGAGAGCUCAGAGGGCAGAAAGAGUUCAUGCUUCCUCUUUAGACUUAGGCUCAUCUCCAAAACACCACGCUCUAGUGCAUUACAUAUCCAGGCAGACAAAUAGGCCAUCUCUCCGCUCUCGUGAAUGUGAAGCUUUAGAGAGAACUUAUUGAUGGGAGAACCACGUUGCAAAGCCAGUGUUCUGUCCACAAAGUGUCUGAAGCUCUCUCGGAUCACAGGCCACUCUUCUGGUUGAAGCAACACAGAGUCAUCAAAAUCAAGAUUAUGCACUAAUCUAAACACAUGUCUCCACUUUUUAGCAAGAACAGAUGUUGAAGCAGCAUGUUUGGUCGGAAGUAGGGACAAGAUCUUUCCCAGGACCUCGUCAGGAAGCCAGCUUAUUGCAUCUCGCAAGCCAGCGUUGACUUCCAUACAGACAGAACCCAGUUUCUUUUGCUUGAAAAAUGAAGUGAAGUGAGCUCAAAAUAAGAGGAAAGAACAAAGACCAGAGAAGCUAAAGGUUCUGAAUUAAAAGCAUGAUAGAUUCAAGCUCGGGCAACACAAGUGGCAAACUACAACAGUUUCAUCGAAACUCAAGCUAUCUAUAAGAGAUUGGAAGCUCAAAAGAAUCACACUUUGAGCGCUUGUAAGGACAGAGUAAACCAAUAUGGAUACAACAAAGAAGAUGUACAAUUCACAUCAAUGGUAUUCCACAGUGGAAAGAAAACUAAACUAAAAGAGGGUUUUUUACAGCUUCAACCUUUCGUUUUGAACCGGCAGAGGACGUUAAACAGAUGAUGAUAAUUUUUUUUUUUGGUGAAUACAAGGGAGGAAAACCUCCCAAGUUUAAUUUAUUUCAAAACAAAAAAAACCUACUACUCGACCACAUGCCUCAACUUAGGCGGGCCUGAACCAUCCUCAAUCAACAAGAGACUAACUUCUACUGGAACAACAUCAAAAAUAUGGAAUCCUAACGCUAGAGAAAAAGCAUAAGUAGCCAAGCCAUCUGCAAGACCAUUAGCUUCUCUGUAGACGUGUUUAAAGCGGACUAUCCAGUCCCUAGAGAUAAAGCCAUAGCACAAUCGUACUAGGAAGGACAAAUGAUGCGUCUCCGCAAUCCCUGUCUGAAAGAAACCAACCACCACAGCAGAGUCCACUUCUACCUCCACACACCUCACUCCUUUAUGCCAAGCAAUCAACAGACCAUAGUAGACACCCCAAAGCUCAGCCAAAGGUGCAGAGCAACGCCCGGUAUUCAGACCAAAACAACAGAGCCAACUACCAUUCUCAUCUCUCAACACACCGCCAGCCAUAGCAAGCCCCGGAUUCCCACGCGAAGCCCCAUCCGUAUUCACCUUAAACCAUCCUGUUGGCGGCUUUUCCCACUUAAUCCACCUCUCUACUCUCGUUAUCCUCACCGCUUCUUUCUUCGUACUGCACAUGUUGAUUUCCUUGGCAUGUUCUUUAACAAACUGCACUCGGUCCCUACACAGCCGCUUCACCCCAAAGACGUUCCCGCACCGCCACUUCCAAGCCCACCAAAUUGCUACUGCAAAAAGAACUACCCAAGGACCCGUCUCAGUUUUAACCUCCGAGCUCGAAAGGUUAUCAUAAGUCCAUUCAAACAGAGACUGCCGAAAGAAACUUUGCCUCUUAACCCUCGGUAUAAUACGGUCCCAUAUACCUUGCAUAGCUGGACAAUCCCUAAGAACAUGUAUUAUCGACUCCACACCCCCUCUACACACUUGGCAGACAUUAGAAACCCCAAUAUGCCUUCGAAAUCUCUCCUCAUUUGUCAUGAUAGCUUGCUGAGAAACCAGCCACAAGAAAACGCGUAUCCUCUCCGGUACUUUCAGCCUCCAUAUACAGUUAUAAAACUGUUCCAUAUCCUGUGUAAGGACAUUUUCUCUUGUUAACAGUGCAUAAGCUGAUGCAACUAAGAAACUACCAUCCCGAGUCUCUCCCCAGACCAACUUAUCCUUAGCUCCUGUUACUGUGUCGAGAACCACUGAUCUAAGUUCCAGCCUCUUAUCCUCAUCAACAUACUGCCCAAUAACAUCAAAAUUCCAUCCCCUAUCCUCCUGCCACAACUCAUUAGCCUUGAUAUUCAUGAGCGCGUCUGAAAGAUGUCCAUGCACAGAAUCUACCAGAGCUUCAUUACCCAACCACUUAUCCGUCCAAAAACGAAUGCUUGCACCAUCACCAACAACCCAAGCAUAACCCUUUACAAUCACCUCUAAGAUUCCGAGCCCCACACUCCGCAUAGUCGAAGACCAUGAGCCAGUAGAAGCAAGCCAAGAUAAAUCUUGUAGAUCACCGACGUUAUACUUACAACGCAGAACUUGGGCCCAAAGGCUAGUUCUAUCAUUAAACAGUCUCCAGCUUACCUUUGCUAGUAACGCCAUAUUCAUCUCCUUAGCAUACCUGAUCCCCAAACCACCAUCCUGUUUUGGUUUGCAUAUUCGAUCCGCGUAUCCUCUCCGGUACUUUCAGCCUCCAUAUACAGUUAUAAAAUUGUUCCAUAUCCUGUGUGAGGACAUUUUCUCUUGUUAACAGUGCAUAAGCUGAUGCAACUAAGAAACUACCAUCCCGAGUCUCUCCCCAGACCAACUUAUCCUUAGCUCCUGUUACUGUGUCGAGAACCACUGAUCUAAGUUCCAGCCUCUUAUCCUCAUCAACAUACUGCCCAAUAACAUCAAAAUUCCAUCCCCUAUCCGCCUGCCACAACUCAUUAGCCUUGAUAUUCAUGAGCGCGUCUGGAAGAUGUCCAUGCACAGAAUCUACCAGAGCUUCAUUACCCAACCACUUAUCCGUCCAAAAACGAAUGCUUGCACCAUCACCAACAACCCAAGCAUAACCCUUUACGAUCACCUCUAAGAUUCCGAGCCCCACACUCCGCAUAGUCGAAGACCAUGAGCCAGUAGAAGCAAGCCAAGAUAAAUCUUGUAGAUCACCGACGUUAUACUUACAACGCAGAACUUGGGCCCAAAGGCUAGUUCUAUCAUUAAACAGUCUCCAGCUUACCUUUGCUAGUAACGCCAUAUUCAUCUCCUUAGCAUACCUGAUCCCCAAACCACCAUCCUGUUUUGGUUUGCAUAUUCGAUCCCAGGCGACCAAAUGCUGCUUUCGUUGUUCACUCGUGCUUCCCCAUAUAAAAUCCCUUGAUAACUUAUCCAAAGCAUUAAGUGUAGAUACAGGUAGCUGAAUAUUGCUCAUACUGUGAACUGGGGUAGAGGACAACACAGCUUUAGUUAAAGUAAUCCUACCAGCCCGGCUCAACAUCUUCCCUUUCCACCCUGCUAACCGCGAGGAGACUCUCCCAAUAACUUCACUAAACGUAUCUUUAUUGAUCCGUUUAUGAAGGAUCGACAUUCCCAAGUACUUCCCAAGAUCAUGUGUGGAUUGAAUACCGCUUUCAGAUGUGAUACGAUUACUCAAAUCCAGAGCCACAUUCUUGGAGAAAAAGAUCUUGGACUUCUCUAAGCUCACCUUCUGGCCUGAGGCAUUGCAGAACCUCUCAAGGACUCUGCGAAUCACUCUGAUCUGCGCUACAGAUGCCUCCGCAAACAACAGAUGAUGAUAAUUUGAUUCUUCGAUCCAGAUCUAUCUACCGUCAAAGAUGAUGAAGUUAUGGAAGAGAACAAGAUAAAAAGUAAAAGAGAUAUUAAUAAUUAAAAAAAAGCUAAUUAGAAUUUUUAUUUUUGUUAAAUUUAUAUUUGAUAUUUUUUAAUCUCAGAAAUCUUAUUAAAACUACUCGGACAUGCUGAAUACAUUAUUUAAAUUGUUGAAUACUUAUUUAAACUUAUUUAAAUAUUUAUUGAAAAAAAUUAAAACAUUACAGGGAUUGUUUGUUAUUGAAUUUAUUCAAUAUAUUAAAAGCCAAGAAAAUGGAAUCCAUAAUAAUAUGUAUUGUUUUUUUAUUGGUUGUUGAUAUUAGUUGGAUUUUUCAUAUUCAGCUUUUUUUAUUAUAAGUUAUUUAUUUCACAUCAAAUUAUUAUUUACUAGAGUAGGUCUACGUAUUAUUUACUAGGGUACAUCCGCGCUACGCGCGGAAUAUGCUGUAAGUGUAAUAUAUCAAUAUAUAUAUUUUAUAAAUUAUAAUUGCUUGAGAUUAUAGGUUUGUGGUUUAAAUAGAUAUUUGUGUUUUUUUAGUUCUUUAUAUUUAGAUCAUUUUGCCAUAUUUUUAUGGUUUUUAUAAGGAUGAAAUCACAAUUCAUAUGAUUAAUAUAUAAUUCAAUGGUCUAUGAAUAAUGGGGUUAUGGGUCUUGUUAUAGUAUUUCUUAUGAAUGGUGUAAACUAUUUUUUUAUUUCCUAAUAACGAAACGAUUUUCAUAACACGCGGAUUAUAUAUCUAAAUUUGUUAAACUUAUAAAAUUUAUCCAUAAUUGAUGUUUUUGUCUUUUUCAUUGGUUUCAAGAAAGAGUUUAACUAUCAUUUGUAAUUUUAAAAUAAUUAUACUUUUAGCUUAAUAUUCUCGUUAGAAUACAGUUUUUUAGUAUGUUUUAAGUUUUAUUUUCUAUUUUUGAUUUUGGUAUCUUAUAAGAGAUUGUAACACAUUUUUUUUUAAACUAACACAUUUAAGUUUCGCCAAUUAUUUAUUUAAAGAUAAAGUUUAAUUUGAUGGCUAGAUAACUCAAAAUAAGUCUCAUGUGCAAAUAAACAAAACAUGGAACAAUGUACAAAGAAACUUAGAGAAUGAUGUGAGAAUAUGUACGAGGAGACCUCUAGUAAAUCUUUUUGUGUUUUGGACCUGAUAUUUCCGCCUAAAAUUUUAAGAAAAUUUUUUUUUCCACUGAAAUAUUAUUUGUUUCAAAUAAAAUAAAAGAAUAAAUUUAAAAUUUUACAUAAUAAUAAUUUUCUAAAACUAAAACUGAAAAUCUAAAAAUCUAAAAAUAAAACAUGAAUCCUAGUUCUUUUGAAAAAAAGAAAAAAAAAACUCUGGUUCUCUCAACUUAUUUUCUCUCACCCGUCACACAAACUCAUUUCAGAUCUUUAGCCGCCACACCAGAUCUAUCUCCCGUGCCUCUCUCUGACACCGGAGUUCUCUAUCUCUAGCCGGACCUCUCUCACGCUCCCUCUAUCAUUUGUAAUUUUAAAAUAAUUAUACUUUUAGCUUAAUAUUCUCGUUAGAAUACAGUUUUUUAGUAUGUUUUAAGUUUUAUUUUCUAUUUUUGAUUUUGGUAUCUUAUAAGAGAUUGUAACACAUUUUUUUUUAAACUAACACAUUUAAGUUUCGCCAAUUAUUUAUUUAAAGAUAAAGUUUAAUUUGAUGGCUAGAUAACUCAAAAUAAGUCUCAUGUGCAAAUAAACAAAACAUGGAACAAUGUACAAAGAAACUUAGAGAAUGAUGUGAGAAUAUGUACGAGGAGACCUCUAGUAAAUCUUUUUGUGUUUUGGACCUGAUAUUUCCGCCUAAAAUUUUAAGAAAAUUUUUUUUUCCACUGAAAUAUUAUUUGUUUCAAAUAAAAUAAAAGAAUAAAUUUAAAAUUUUACAUAAUAAUAAUUUUCUAAAACUAAAACUGAAAAUCUAAAAAUCUAAAAAUAAAACAUGAAUCCUAGUUCUUUUGAAAAAAAGAAAAAAAAAACUCUGGUUCUCUCAACUUAUUUUCUCUCACCCGUCACACAAACUCAUUUCAGAUCUUUAGCCGCCACACCAGAUCUAUCUCCCGUGCCUCUCUCUGACACCGGAGUUCUCUAUCUCUAGCCGGACCUCUCUCACGCUCCCUCCUCUCUCACGCUCCCUCCUCUCUCUUGCUCGCCUUCAGGACUCCUCUCUAGCCGGAUUCUCUCUCUCUCUCUCUCUCUCUCUCUCUAGACGGACCUCCGUCACGGUUAACUCUCUCUCUCUCUCUCUCUAUGUCUGUGUCUAUGUGUGUGUCAGUUUUGAUUCCGAUUUGUUUUUUGUUGGUGGUGGAGGAGAUUGGGCAUGAAGCCUCACGGAGGAGGCUCCUCGCCGUGACUUUUCCGACGUUUCUUUCCAUCCCAGCAACCUCAGUAAGUUGGAUAGUUAUUAGAUGUUCAUUGUUGCCUACUAAAACAGUUUCGUUACAGUAUCACAAAGUUUUUAACUUUUGAUGUUGUUUGUUUGUUAUCUAUUGCAGAUUGAAGCAUCUGGUGGCGAUUGUUCAGAAGAUAAACUAUAGAUUUUCAAAGGUUGAAACUUUGACGGUGGAGGAUGGAGAAGAAGCCGCCGGCGGUGGAGGCUUCAGCGGGAAGGACGGCGGCGAGCAGACAGCGGUAAUCUUUCCUCAGCCUCGUCCGCUGUUCAUAUCCAAGGUAGUUUUUUUUCUUUUUGGGUUUGUUUCUUUUGUUUCAGUGAGUUUUCAUUUGUUUAUGCUGAGAUCUGUAUUAAUGUUUCCAAAGUUUUGUGGUUUUUUUUUGUUUUUGUUUUGAUGAAUCGGCAUUUGGGGUUUUGAAUGUUUAUGCAAAGAGAAACUUUUAUGGUGUUUAGAAAAAAACUUUUAUGAUUUGAGAGAUUUCGGGCUUGUGUGUGUUUUGAUCCCUUUAUGUUGUUAUUGUGACAUAUCUCAGGCAGUGUGGGUGAUCUAUGGGUUGGUUGAAUCGAACAAACAAAAGGCCCAAAUUAAAAAACAAAUACGGCUGAUCGAAAAGCGAAGAUAGGCGCGACAACUUGCGUUCAAUGGUCUAUGAAUAAUGGGGUUAUGGGUCUUGUUAUAGUAUUUCUUAUGAAUGGUGUAAACUAUUUUUUUAUUUCCUAAUAACGAAACGAUUUUCAUAACACGCGGAUUAUAUAUCUAAAUUUGUUAAACUUAUAAAAUUUAUCCAUAAUUGAUGUUUUUGUCUUUUUCAUUGGUUUCAAGAAAGAGUUUAACUAUCAUUUGUAAUUUUAAAAUAAUUAUACUUUUAGCUUAAUAUUCUCGUUAGAAUACAGUUUUUUAGUAUGUUUUAAGUUUUAUUUUCUAUUUUUGAUUUUGGUAUCUUAUAAGAGAUUGUAACACAUUUUUUUUUAAACUAACACAUUUAAGUUUCGCCAAUUAUUUAUUUAAAGAUAAAGUUUAAUUUGAUGGCUAGAUAACUCAAAAUAAGUCUCAUGUGCAAAUAAACAAAACAUGGAACAAUGUACAAAGAAACUUAGAGAAUGAUGUGAGAAUAUGUACGAGGAGACCUCUAGUAAAUCUUUUUGUGUUUUGGACCUGAUAUUUCCGCCUAAAAUUUUAAGAAAAUUUUUUUUUCCACUGAAAUAUUAUUUGUUUCAAAUAAAAUAAAAGAAUAAAUUUAAAAUUUUACAUAAUAAUAAUUUUCUAAAACUAAAACUGAAAAUCUAAAAAUCUAAAAAUAAAACAUGAAUCCUAGUUCUUUUGAAAAAAAGAAAAAAAAAACUCUGGUUCUCUCAACUUAUUUUCUCUCACCCGUCACACAAACUCAUUUCAGAUCUUUAGCCGCCACACCAGAUCUAUCUCCCGUGCCUCUCUCUGACACCGGAGUUCUCUAUCUCUAGCCGGACCUCUCUCACGCUCCCUCCUCUCUCACGCUCCCUCCUCUCUCUUGCUCGCCUUCAGGACUCCUCUCUAGCCGGAUUCUCUCUCUCUCUCUCUCUCUCUCUCUCUAGACGGACCUCCGUCACGGUUAACUCUCUCUCUCUCUCUCUCUAUGUCUGUGUCUAUGUGUGUGUCAGUUUUGAUUCCGAUUUGUUUUUUGUUGGUGGUGGAGGAGAUUGGGCAUGAAGCCUCACGGAGGAGGCUCCUCGCCGUGACUUUUCCGACGUUUCUUUCCAUCCCAGCAACCUCAGUAAGUUGGAUAGUUAUUAGAUGUUCAUUGUUGCCUACUAAAACAGUUUCGUUACAGUAUCACAAAGUUUUUAACUUUUGAUGUUGUUUGUUUGUUAUCUAUUGCAGAUUGAAGCAUCUGGUGGCGAUUGUUCAGAAGAUAAACUAUAGAUUUUCAAAGGUUGAAACUUUGACGGUGGAGGAUGGAGAAGAAGCCGCCGGCGGUGGAGGCUUUAGCAGGAAGGACGGCGGCGAGCAGACAGCGGUAAUCUUUCCUCAGCCUCGUCCGCUGUUCAUAUCCAAGGUAGUUUUUUUUCUUUUUGGGUUUGUUUCUUUUGUUUCAGUGAGUUUUCAUUUGUUUAUGCUGAGAUCUGUAUUAAUGUUUCCAAAGUUUUGUGGUUUUUUUUUGUUUUUGUUUUGAUGAAUCGGCAUUUGGGGUUUUGAAUGUUUAUGCAAAGAGAAACUUUUAUGGUGUUUAGAAAAAAACUUUUAUGAUUUGAGAGAUUUCGGGCUUGUGUGUGUUUUGAUCCCUUGAUGUUGUGAUUGUGACAUAUCUCAGGCAGUGUGGUUGAUCUAUGGGCCGGUUGAAUCGAACAAACAAAAGGCCCAAAUAAAAAAAAUACGGCUGAUCGAAAAGCGAAGAUAGGCGCGACAACUUGCGUUAAAUGAAGUGCUGCGUUUUGGCAAGCGGGACACGUGUCGACACUCUAGGACUCGACUUUGUGACUUGGAUGCUGAGGUGGCGCAACAUGAAGGAGACAAACAUUUAUAUAUAUAUAUAUAGAUUUUAAUAUAUUGUAUCAAAAUUUAUAGUUUUUGACGGUUAGGUUUAUAAGAUUUGGACAUAUACAAAAAAUAUUUUAUCAUAAGUUGUAAACAUUUUUCAAUCAUUAUAUUUUUACUAAAUAUUUCAUAAAAUUUCAACUUUAACUAUUUUUAUUUAAUUUAAUAAUUAUUUUUUUUAUAAAAAAUGUCUUAAUUGUUAUUAUUUAGUUAUAAAAUCAAAAUAUGAAACAUUAAAUAAAAAUAAAUAGAGAAAGUGUUGAUUUUUUAUCUAAGAAAUUAUUAUGAAUUAUAAAUAUUAGAUGGAUAUGUAGAAGAAAGAGAAUAUGAUGUGUUAAAGUAUAAGUUUAAUAUAGGGUGUUAAAAAAAUUAAACCAAUGCACAUAGUCUAUAUCUACUAAAGAUUUAUGCAAUUAUGGGAGUGACUGGAAUGGACGGUAAAUUUAUGUUUUUGACUGUAGAAGAACAACACUAUGGGUUCUGAUCAAUUCAUAGGUUUACCAACCGUUUUGUAUUGUACCGAUGUGAAUAACAACAAACUUUUUUUGCAUAUAUCUAUGUAUCUAUAUGUUUUGUUACUAUUUAAACCGCAGUGCAGUUGUUUCAUAGUUGUUCUGCGGGUUAACAUUCGAACCCAUAAACAUAGAUACAACUAAUUCUCAAUGGAUAUAGGUACGAUACUUAAAAUAAAUCUCCUCAAAAUUUUUUGUCAAAAAAAAAUCUCCACAACGCAUAAUUUAUCUAAAUUAAAACAUCUAUUGAUUUUUUUUUGGUCGGCCAAAUAAAACAUCUAUUGAUAUUUAUAGUUAAAACUUAUAAACAAAUGUGUCAAAGUAACUAAAAAUCUGUAAAGAAAAACCUGUAGGAGAGGUAAAAAGAAGUUUCAAAUGGUUCUGAUCUGGUACACUAGCAAGUAUUAUUGAGUUUAUGAACCUAUAUUAUUCAAACGCGUAUUAAAAUGUAAAACUCAUUAUUUUAAUAUAUAACGUCCAUGUCAGCUUAUUAGAGAUUCUUGCUUACGCAAUGCCCAUGCUAAAAGUAAAGUAGAGAGUAGAAGUCAAGGGGAGAAGAACCUAGUGAUUGUGGAAGAAGACUACGCCACACGCGCACACGGAUUGAUUUUCUUUUGUUUACUAAAUCCACAAAAUAAAACCCAGAAAAUUCAAACCUUCCAAAAGCAGCAACUUGCCUCUCUCAUUUGUCAGCUCCCUUUAUAAAUAAAAAAAAGUCUCCUCUUUUUAUUCUUUACAGCAUUUUACAAAAUCCCUUAAUUCACUGAACCCUCCUCAUAUUCUCUGACCCUCUCUAAAGUCUUUUAUUAAUAGCCUCAAAGAUUUACUAUUUAAAGUAUCAUAAGCUACUAGUAGUUUUAUACAUAUUCAAAGAUCAGACCAAACCCACUUCUUGUUUUGUUUUAGGACAAAGAAAUCUUGGUCUUCUUCAUCUCUUGCAUAAAAGUACUUCCUUUCAAAGAUCAGACCAAACCCACUUCUGGGUCGUGGUGGUUUGCUUUAAAGCUGCAUUGGUCAACUAGAAACUUCGAAAAGGUAGUUGCUUUAGCUUGCAUUCAAGUCAUGGACGUCGGAGAAAGAAAUAACCGGAAAAACGUCAACUUCAACCGUCCGCCGGCAAUGGUGUUGGAGAACAGCAAGCAUGAGUUACGUCGGACGCAGAAAAGGUUGAUGAUUCCGGCAAGUUAUUUCAGUUUAAAGUCUCUGGUUCUGCUGGUGGGUCUAACGGCGUCUAUGUUGAUCCUUCCGUUAGUUUUGCCGCCGUUACCUCCUCCACCCUUUAUGCUUCUUUUGAUUCCGAUUGGUAUUAUGGUCUUACUAGUCGUUCUUGCCUUCAUGCCUUCUUAUUCUAAGGCCAAAGAUGUAACUUGCACUUUUACGUAAAUCCCUUAUUAUCCCCUAUAUAUUAUUUGAGAAGUAUUACAACUUUUUUUAUAGUCACAUGUCAUCACUAGAUUGGUAUUAUGGUCUUACUAGUCGUUCUUGCCUUCAUGCCUUCUUAUUCUAAGGCCAAAGAUGUAACUUGCACUUUUAUGUAAAUCCCUUAUUAUCUCCUAUAUAUUAUUUGAAAAGUAUUACAACUUUUUUUUGUAGUCACAUGUCAUCACUAGAAUGAUUCUUAGAAUCAUUAGAGAAAUGUCCAUCUAAUUAUAUAAUAAGCUUUUUAUUAAACUAACAAUAAAUUCAUCAUUAAUGUACUUUAUUAUUUCCUUAAAUAAAAUUUACGGAAUUGCCUAAUAUAGCUAAAGUAUAUAUGACAAUUAAUGAUUUUGAAUAAUAAAGAUUUGAUGAAAAAUAGUGUAUCUUCUAUCAUAUUUGUUUAAUUUUAAACUAGUAAAUAAAUUAAACAACCACAAUAACCAUAUAAUAAAAUUUUAGAUUUUUAUGUAUAUUUUAUAUUUUGAAUUUUUACAAACAACUAUAAAUUACUAAACUGUUAAAAGUCUCACAUUCACAUUUUAUGAUCCAUGGUUUAAAAUUUUUGUUAUGACAAAAUACAAAUGAUUAUAAAAAUUAUAUAAGUAAAAAGCCUAAUUUAAUUAAUUAUUAAGAUUAAUAUAUAUAUCGUUUUAAAUUAAACUCUACACCAUAUAAAAUACAAUAUUUUAGUUUCAAAAUUCACUUUGAACAACCUUUUUGAUAAAAAUUUUGAACGAUCAUUGACAACUUAUUUUUUAAAAAAAUUAUAAAUUACUAAAACUAUUAAUCCCACAAUGAAAAUUUUGUUAUCAAUAAUUUAAAUUUUUUUUCUAUAAAAGAUACAAAUGAUCAAAAAACUAUAUGAAUAGAAAUCAUCAUUUAAUAGACAUUAAUAUUAAAAAUAUACUAAAAUAUAUUAUCUAUGUUAGUAUCAUUUAAAUUUAAUAACAUAUCCUAUCAAAUAUAAAAAAAAAAUAUUUUUUGGAUUAAUAAAAUUGAUUUAUAUGUUCGCACCAAUUUAAUUAUAUAUUUAAUAGUUACUGACUUUUAAUUAUUUAAUAUAUAUUUAUUAUUUCAUAAUAUGUAAAAAUAUUUAAUACAUAAAAUAAUUUAUAUAUAUGAUGUUGAUUCCGCGCCUUGCGCGGAUCUUAACCUAGUUGUAUUUUAUUUCAUUACAUUUUAAAUUUUAAUACACAACCAGUCAACUUGGUUUCUGAUGAAACAUGAAGAAACACCAAGAUUACUGACAAGUCAUAACAGAAGAGAUUAAGGAGACUAAUCAAGAUUAGUGACAAGUCAUAAUAAAAGCAAGAGUAAUAACCAGCAAUUUGAAGGCAGAGGUUAUCCCAGGAAAGAUCUUUAGAUAUUGUUAAGGCGGUCUCAUUGAGUCUAACUAUAACCUCGUUGGAACGUUGGUGUGACUUGUGAGUCUCAGUGUUGAGCAAGUACCGUACCAUACUGAAAGAACGUCAAAAGCAACAAAAACAUGUAUAUUUUAGACUCGAUUUGAGACUCAGAAUGCCAUAACAUCAUAUUAAUACGAUCUCAUGAUACAAACGUAAGUUUAGAAAUUACAUCAAGUUAUCAAGCCUAUGGACCAAGACCUUGUAUCUGAAUUGCGUAAGAAGUAUCACACUUACCAAGAUAACGCCUAGCUAGCCCAGGUGAUGUGGUACAAUACAACUCUUUCCGGUCAAGUAUAAUGUAACUGAACUAAUGUUGUGCGAUAUUCUUGAAUGAUUAAUUUCAUAGGAGCUAGGACGCAAAGAGCAUAUCCCUAGAGCUUUUGUUAUUAAUUGAAUAAUUUAAAUCAAAACAGGAAUACAACGUUCGUAAAAGGAUCUCACGUUCGUAAAAGGAUCUCACUCGCUAGAUAGUACUCUACGUCAGCAUCAGUAUCCCUUGGAUCUAACAUUUGUAUCACACUACUUAAACAGAAGCUAGAUACAUUAGUUCUCUUCGUCAGCGUCAGUUUCCCUUUCACGACGCUUCACAUCUUGUGUUGUCGAUAGCGAAACCACCAGCACAUAUCUUUGAUCAAUACCAAGCCAAGCAUGGUUCAGGAAAAGAAAAAUAUUUCUCUAGGCAGUCAUCAGGCACUACUAAGACGACAUUGUAAUCUCUUAAACAGAUAGACUCAAGAAGAGUGACGAAGUCCGACUCUUCUUCGUCUGGUAUAGCUUUUGAAAUCACCAUCAAAUUUUUCUCUCCUCCUGCGCGUUUAUGCCACACCGCCCAGGUAAUCAUGUCUUGUAACAUAUUAUUAAGCCUCAUACGUUUCUCACCUAAAGUUGAGAUAACCAUUCCGGCUGCGCCAUAAUAAUCAAACGUAUCUUCUGACGCCACCAGAAAAAAGCUCUCUGCGUAGAGAACGUUCGACUCCCUCUGUAACGGCCCGAUCCCUGGCGUCCGACCGGAGUUAUCGAAAGGGCGUUAUGGACACGUGUCUACUCAUUUAGACAACCAUACGUGUCCCGUUACUGCUCCCAAGAGUCGACGGACGCAUAACCUUCUUUGAAAUACCGUCACACCCACAUUCAUAUACUUCUACUUACAGUCCUGCACACAGGGAAAUGGAAAGGGAGGGAUGAGUAACAAGUUACUCAGUGAAGUGACUCUAGAUCAACCUGCCCGCAUGACACUCUAUACUACUCUAUGCGGGAAGUAGGAUUGACUAGCCACUACAAUCAGGUAAUGUAUUUUCAUCAUUUCAUAUCAUCAUCAUUAUUUCCAAACAUUCAACUCCAUACAUUUCUAGCAACCUAGCGAUCAAUCAAUACAAUGAUCCCACUCAUUGCCACACACGUUAAACCCUAGACUGAACCGUCUCCUCAUACUAGACCGACUUGAUCCUACGACACCUUUAACUCCCCGUUACCCGACCAUGAUGCACGUUUUUAUAUCCCGCCUCUCGCGGUUGGCACACGUUUUUAUCAUCAGUGGGUAGCUCCUACUAGGCUUCUACCCCAUAUUCUUGUGGAUUGGCCACAUCACCUAUGGGUGCUUCCAUAUUCUUGUGGAUUCGCCACAUCUCCUAUGGAUACCUAGCGAGAACUACUGCCACACAUACUUUCCUUAGACUCUAUAUGCUUCCCCACCCAUGCUUAACCGUAACAUCAUUCUUUCAUACUUUUACUUAUCCUUUCACAUCCUUAUCAUUUUCACUUAUCCCUUCCCAUUCUCAUUUACUUUCCUUUUUCAUUUAGACUUGUACUUGGACUCAAUCACUAGACGCCACCCGUUAUCGGUGUCACACACAAUACACAUCGCACUCAUGUUUCACUUACAAUAUCAACAGCAAUUAGUAGUCAUCUAUCAUCUUAGCAUUCAUUCUUCCUAGCAUCCUAGCUUUAAUCACAAACCACUCGUGGGACUACACAUCCAAGCAUACAAGCAUCAAAUACUAAUCAUUCACCACCACAACAACACAAGACAGUUCAUUAAGUCUCAUUUAACAGUAUGAAGGUUCUUAUGCAUCAUGAUCCAUUCAUCUAUCAACCUAGUACUAACCAGGUUCUAUCAUCCUAGCUCUUCAAACAGGGUCUAAUCAAUCCUAACUCCAACAUAAAGGAGUAUACAGAACAUGAGAACAAGAUGGGUUCAAGACACUCCACUUUAGCCUAGAUCUGGAUCUGGAAACAAGAGACAAGGGAGAGGAGAUUGAGAUCUGGUCACCACCACCACUACACGGCGCCGGCGAGGAGAGAGAGAGAGCGUGCGACGGCGAGGAGAGAGAGAAGAGAGAGAGGCGUGAGAUGAGAAGAGAGAAAAGGAAAAGAGAAGCUUGACGGCUAGGGUUUCCUAGUCUCUCUAAAUCUCUGCAGAGCUUCGCUCAAGUUUCAGAAUGAGAGAAAAGAAGGAUUGCAUCUCUUUUUAUAGGAAAGGGUGAAGGGAACCCUAGGUUUUUGUCAAAUGGGCCGUAGAGAAGCUCAUUCUUUUAUGAAAUUUUUUGGGCCAGGAACCGGGCCGUUACACCUCCUUGAAUGAAAUUAAAUCCUCAAAAGAAGAGAGUUCGAAGUCCUUGGCGUCCCAGAAGACUCAUGUUGUAGCAUCUGCGCGAGGUUCCGCACAAAGGGACAUUAACACAUAAACAGCUAAGAUGCGCAAAAGAAAAACAAGCAGAUCUAAUAGUGACUGCAGGUAAUACACAAAGCUACAUAUCUUACGGAUUCUAUAAUCGGACAUGGUUUCGACGGAGAUCGAUGGAAAUAUUAGACUCUGAGAGAGGGAGUCUUUUAUAACAGAUUUUUAGAUACUUUUUUUGAAACGUUUGUUUUUAAGCUUUAUGUUUUUUUAACUAAAAUAAUUUUGCUUUAACUAUCGUACCCAGUACCCAUAACUAUUUUUUGUCCAUGUGUCUGAAUGGUAAUCAAAAGAAACCAGGGUAAAUAGUGUAUUCUUUUCCAUUCUUUAAAUUUGACUCAAUUUAAGAAAUGUUUUUUCGUCAGAUAUUCCUUCUCAUUCUUUUUAAUUUAGAGAAUUGUAGAAUAAAAACAUUCCUAUAUUUGGUUCAUCUUUAAUCAUUUCUUCUUUGUUUAUAUUAAUCUUUUAACAGUCAUCGGUUAAAACCUAUAUUUAUGAAUUAAUAUAGUAGGAGUAUUUGGCUAGUUAGGAAUGCUCUGAUAUUCGAACUUACUAACAUUUGCCCAGCUGAUAUUGUUUGCAAAGCUUUAAGAUUGGCAAAGGAAUGGAUUGAAGCGCAACCGCUAAAAGCUAUGAGCCCGGCAUAUUCCUACACCCAAAGACAGUCAGCGCCUCACACUAUAGUAUGCUGCACUGAUGCAGCAUGGCGUAUCCAAGAUAAGAUGGCGGGGUGUGGUUGGGUGUUCAAAAACGAGACAGGAAGCAUUAUGGAACAGGGAUUAGGCCUGGGCAAAAUAACCGGAACCGAAGAACCGAAAUAUCUGAAACCGGAACCGGACCAAUAUCCUCAAAUACCUGAGCGGUUCCUAUAUUUUUAUAUCCGAAAUAAUCGAACCGAACCGAGAACCAAACGGAUACCCGAAUAUAUAAAAAUAUUAAUUAUAUAUACAUAUAACAUCACUAAAUAUAUAUUUUUUAUUUAAAAUUCUAUUAAAAGUAUCUGAAAAUAGUUGAGGAUAACUAAAUUAUUAUAAAGUAUCCAAACUACCCGAAACUAUCCGGAUAGUUUUAUCCGAAAUAUCCAAAGUAAUCCGAAAUAUCCAAUUUUUUUAUCUAAAUCAUCCUAAUUAUUUGAUAUUUUACCCAAAAUAACCGAUAUUUUAUCCAAAUUAUCCGAACUACCCGAACUAUCCGAACCCGAACCGGAUCCAAAUGAGAAUCAAACUUUUUCCAGAUAUUUUCCGGUUCCUACAUUUAUUAUCCGAACCGAACCGAACCCAAAACUAUCCGAAACGAACCGAACCGAACCGAAAAUAGGUCAAAUACUAAAUGGAUCCUCUAGCCCCUAUCCGAACUACCCGAAACCCAAAAUACCCGAACCGAUACCCGAAAUGCCCAGGCCUAACAAGAAUCAUACUCUGAACGUUUGUUGUUUCCCAACUUAUGGCAGAGGCGAUAGCUGUCCGGGAGGCUCUGGUGCAUGCCCAGUCUCUCCUCUUCACCAAAAUCUGCAUUCAGUCAGAUAAUCAAGUGCUCAUUAAUGCACUGCUCUCGAAAAAAAGUCCAAUGGAAAUCUACGGAAUCUAUUUGGACAUCAAGUCUCUAUCCUCUGCUUUUAGCUCUAUUCAGUUUUCGUUUAUUCUCAGAACCUUGAACUCCAUUGCUGAUGGUUUGGCUAAAUCAGCUCUUUGUAUCACUCACUCUUUGCCUGUUUAAGGCUUUUAUGAAUUCAUUUGAUUGUUCAAAAAAAAAAAAUAUUAGGACCCAUGGUGUUGUUCUUCUCUAAGACAUUAGGAGUACUUCAUAUAGUGAAUGCAUUUGUAAUAGUGAGAAAUGUUGGGCCAUGCUAUAUGGAAGGAACGCAAUGGCAGAAAGUUUGGGAAAGAUCACAAGCCUGCAUCGGGGCUAAUAAAACUCAUUGAUAAACAGAUUCGAAACUCCAUUUUCAACAUGGAUCAUCGACACAACUCGGCUUACCAAGGGGUCAUGGGAACGUAGUUCUCUUUUAGAUAAUUAAUCUCUGUAAUGUAAAGCUUUUGUUUUUCGUUUCAGACUCAAACAAGCAAUUUCGGUUGUAAACUGUAUUUUUUCGUUGAAUUAAUUUAAUAUUCUUUAAAAGAAAAUGUUUGCCUAAAUUUAUUUUUAUUUUUAGGUUCUGUUUUUAACUUUUUAUAUAUAAAAAGUUGAUGUAAUUUUUUAACUUUAUAUAUACUAGAGAUUUUGUCCGGGCUACGCCCGGAAUUAGACAAAUGUCAAUAAUAUAUUUAAGAUAUAUAAUGCACAUAUAUUACAUCCCUUGAUAUAACCAUAUACUGAAUCAGAAAUGAGUAAAACUGACAAUUUAUCAUUUGUACUAUCUAAAAUACAUAUGGAAAGAUGAGCAAAUGUGUAAUGUGUAAAAAAUAGUUAAUUCUAAGUUACGAUUCAACUAUAUUUUGUCUUAUAUAUUGGGUUAUCAUGAAACUAAAUUAUUAAUCAUAAGUAAAGUCCAUCCAGUCGCGAUAAAAAUUAAUCAUAUGUUUUAUGUACACGUGGUUUAUAUAUUUUAAAUUUUUUUAAUUUGUCAUUUUUACUAUUAUGAGGAUUUUUUUUUAUAAAUAUUUAUUGGUAUUACAAUUUUUAAUAUUUUCCUUUGGUUCAUGUACAUUUAUUUACACUCAUGUGUAUUAACUAUCGUUGGGAGAAACCAAGAAAUCGGACCAUAUAUAUAAGUCGUAAGAAAUUCCAGCUAUGGUUUGGUUACUUGUAUACUAUCGCUUUUUCAAAUAUAUUGAGUUUCAUACUUUAAACUCAAACGCCUAUAAGAUAGCGGACAAAGCUUCGAAGGCUUUCCCUUGUAAACUAAGUUUCACGUUUACAUCCAUUGCUUAAUGGGCCUAAAGAAAUUAAGUCCCAUUAAUUAUUGGGCUUGAAUAAAUUUGAGAUUUCUUAAGUAGUUGGUAAGUUAAAAUAUAAGCGCAUUUCUUAAAGAAGAGGACAUCCGAAGGUAAUGGGAGCUAGUUUGAUGCAUUGUAUAAACUCCAUGUUAUAAUCUGAAUGUAUUCAUGCAUGAAGUAAACCACACCAUUGUUUACCAAGAUGCAAAAGCCCGUAAACAUUCUUUUAAUUAAAAUGCACAUAACUCUGCUCACAGUCGGAGAUAGUUUGCAGUACAUUCAAAAAGUAUAAAGAUGAAAUAUAGGGAAAUAGUUAUUGCACAGAGCUUGUAAUGUGGGGUAGAAAAUCCAAGUGAGAACGACGGUUUGCAAGACUUCCAACUAUCACUUACAUAGCGUUUGCGGCUCUGCUCUUCAUCUUCAAAGUUCGGUUGUGUUGGUUGAUUCACUACUCCAUUGCUUUUGUGGUGUUGGUUUAUUAUGAAUUGCUGACCUUGGUGGUUGGUUGUGACAAAGGUAAGGAUUUCUUCAUGAAUCUCAUGUCUUCUUCUAAACAUGUAAUAAGUAAAGUCAAUUGGGUGGUAAAUGUUUCAGACAGUGCUUAUCAUAUAUCGUUUUGCUUAACAGAGAAGAGAAGGUGGUGAGACAUACCUAUCUCCAGAGUUGCAACCGACGGACCUCCUGCUGCAACAAUAAUUACGUAAGAAAAAGGCUUUUGUCCUUAGAGAGACUCAUCAAAAAGGGGCAAAUAAGAUGUCCUUACAUCAGACUGCUUGAUUUCACACAGGGUGCUGGACAUAUAUUGGUCUUUGAUAGAUAAAUCACAUCCUCGGCACCCAACAGUGAAUACAUGGCCCCUCAUGAUAUGGUGUGGGUUCUGAAAUUACAUAGAAAAAAGCAUUUAGGACAGUUAGAAACAGAAGUAUCGUAGUCAAGAAGUGGAAAAGUAUCAGACAUAACAACAUAGCUCUGUUGGAAAAAUAUAAAAGAACCGAACAUGAAGUGAACUAAACUCGUUGGGCAUGAACUGAAAGACCAAACCUUCACAACAAAAAAUUUAACACGAAGUGCACACUGCUAAACCCUCAAUGUGCAACUUGCAGACACAAAAAAAGUCACAGAGACACAUACAUAACAACAUACUUAUGGGUUAUGCCGGAAAAAAUAUAAAAGAAACGGACAUGCAGACAACUAAACUCGUUGCUCAUGAACUGAAAGACCAAACCUUUACUAAAAAUAUUACACGAACAGCACACUGCUAAACCCUAAAGGCGCAAUUAGCAGACUAUUAGAUCAAACCAAUAAAAAAAACAAUCACUGAUGAAACUUGACCCACCUGAGAAUACUGAGAAAGUAGCUUUGCCCGUGGAGCCUUAGCUAGCUUCUUCCCUGCCUUCGACUUCUCACCAUCCGUCACCACUUCACCUAGAUCCACAAAAACAUUAGAAAUCAUAAUUAAUGAGACAAAAUCGUGAGACAGACUACCAAAACUGCUAUUGUAGGUGUCACCACCACAUCGGCUUCAGGGUUUGUGUCAGCUUCAAGAGAGAUCUCCAUCACAGGCACAUCGGUUAAAACAGGCUUCUCUGCAUCCAUAGCUUACGGAUCAGAGGAUCCAAGCUCCGACUCUCCAGAUUCCGAAUCCAGAAUCUGAAACCGGUCCUUAUUUCUCAACCGGAACCUCGCUCGCCGACAAAGACCCCGCCGGUUCCGCCGCCGCUACCUAAGUUUAAAAAAAAAAAUCGAAAAUCAGAUUUGAAACAAAAAAAAAAAAGAAACUCAGAUUCGGAUAAGAACUAACGUACAGAUUAAAUAGCAGCAUGGAUGUUGACCUUAGAUCGCAUGGUAGGGCGUGGAGAUGAGAAGACACUUCAGGGGAUGAAGAAGAAGAAGAGAAACUCUUGGAAGAUGAAGAGCUACGACUGGUCUCAACCAUGUCUCACAAUUUGUUUUUCAAUCUCGAUCUUGUUCCCGAUAUAGAGAAGGAGAGGAAAGAGACGGAAUCAAAAAUAUCAGAGAGACUUUAUGUAAAUGAGAAGAAAAACAGAACUAAACGUCUCGUCUUCAUCAUCUCCACGUGAUAACCAAACUAGACAUUAAAUCAUAUGUAUUUAAAAUGGGCCACUUCGAUUUUAUAUCAGCCCACAUAAGUGUGGCCCGAUUAUAACUUCAAAGACGGUCUGACGUGGCAAAACGAAGCUUCACUAUUAGUUGAUUUUUUAUACUGACGUGGAUAGCUUUAGAGUGGAGGAUAUUGGCUUUUUAGUAUUGUUAGAUUAGAUAUAGGAUAUUCCAUCAGUGCCUACCCCUAACAUAAAUCAAUUGUCUUUGGUUCAAUGUUCAAACCAUGAUUUGUGAUUAGCCGAAUGGUUGAAAGAACAUACCAUACUGAAAGAACGUCAAAAGGAACAGAAACUAGUAUGAUUAUAACUGAGAAUGCCCAUAACAUCAAAUUAAUACGAUCUCUUGAUACAAACGUAAGUUAGAAAUUACAUCAAGUUAUGAAAUAUAUAUAGGAAGAACAAAAAUAUACAAAAAACAUGCAUCAUAUCAAACCCCAUUCCUCAAUUCACACUCUUUUAUUUCUCUCCAUUCUUAUUUUUUCCAACUAUCCAUAGUAAAUGUGUCCAAAGCAGAUCCAUUUUGCUGAGAGGCUUGUGUUAACUCUGUCUCCUUGCUUCUUUCAUGGUUUAACAGAAAAUAGCAGUAAGGUGAUGCUCCAAAACCGCCAUAAGGCGAGGAGUCUCGCCUACUUCCACAACAGGAACAUCACAUCCUUGGAGCUGUCUCACAGCUUCAACGAGCUGUCCUCUCAGCCUCUGAGACAGCAACCGCCCACCCGCAUUCACACACUCUCUAUACAGCGGCAUGUAUGCAAUCGCUACUCUUAGCGGCGCAGGAAGGUCUCUUAACGAGAUAGCACAUUCUCCUCUCUUCAACACCCUCAUAAAAUUCAUGAAGUCCUCAUGGCUCUCUCUCAUUCCUUUCUCAAAAGCUGAUUCCGACCAAUGCUCUCUGAGAAACGACUUCAGAUCAGAAGGAACGGAUUCAUCAUCUGAUGACCUCGCUAUGCUGUCUGCAACUGAGUAUGUAGCCGUUGGAUCUCCCAAGAAGUCUGAUUUGAGGAGAAACUCCACUCCUUGGAGAGACCCUCCGCUUCUUUCUCCAGCCGCUUUGAGGAUUUCGAUGCUUAGAGCUGUUAAGACAGGUGACGGAACAAAAGGGAGGAGAUAAGCAGCGACCUCUACUUGGCUACUCGAAGUGGCGGCUGUUAGAGCAAGACAAAGCUCCAUGUCGCGACAACCUCUUUUCACAAACCACUGAACAACUUGCAUACAGCCUCUCUCUGCCGCUCUCAUCAGAGGACCUAAGAAGGCAAUGGCGUUGCCUUCUUCCACUAAACACUUCAUUGUCCCGAGUUUACAGUAAUGCGAGGCGAAACCAAGAGCUAAGUCCACAUCCACAUCUAAGCUGUUCCUUUGAGCAAUCUGAAUCAGACAAAACACAGUACUUGAGAACACAAAGAGAUCUUAAAUUCUAAAAGUAGGGGUGCAUUCAGUUACCUAUUUGGGUCUAUUCAGUUUUCGAGGUUAGAGAUUAAAACCCCAUACGAAUGAUUUAUAAACUUCCGUUUGGUCGGUUCAGAUCUUUUGCGGGUUUGGAUAUUUUUUAAAAUUAUGUAAAUAAAAUUUAAAAAUCCCAAAAACCCAAAAUCCAAAAAUAAAAGAUAAUAUAGAAUAUAUAAAUUUGAAAAUAUAUGUUAAAUAUCUAAAAAUAACAUGGAAGUUAGUUUGGUUUAGACAUUUGGAUAGAGAACCAGUAGACAUCUAAUGUAUUUUCCGGUGUUUAUAGUAUUUUGGAUAUUAACUUUAGAUAUUUUCAAGUAUUUUGAAUAAUUCUGGAUAUCUUUUGAGUAUUUUGGAUAUUAGAUUUUAAAAAUAUAAUUUUAAUUCGAAUAUUUUCAGGUACCAUAAUAUUUUAGUUUGGUUCGGGUCGGGUUCUCGGAAUCGGUUCGGUUUUUCAGGCUCGAUAUUUUGACCAGCCCUAUCUAAAAGCAAUAAAAUGAGUGGUAAGCUUACAUGCAACAAGACGCGGACAAGUUCUGUACUACCAAAACGUGAAGCUUCAAGGAAACAUUGAUUCACGUUAUCUGCACCACCUUCAACAAGCAUACCGAGGAGUCCUUGUAUGACGGUAGAUGAUAUUCCAGACGCCCAACCAGGAUCAAACGAGUUGGAAAACAAAGUGAGAGGGAAACAAGCUGCAUCGAAGGCCUCAGUGAAAUCUCUUCCUGAGAGAUGGUUCCCUGCUAGUUCUAGAAACAUCUUGAAAGCAGAAAGCUGUAGUUCAAUCUCAGUAGGUGAACUAUGGCUAACUCUAUCCCUUGCUCUUUGGCAUCUGGAGUGGAAACCUAUACAUUUGAGAGCCCAUUCAGUGAACUUCUGAACUUUUGCACCAGCUUCUGCUUUCAGGAUCUCGUCCCCGUUACACUCUUGGAGACGCUCCUGCAACCUGAAUAUUAGGUAGAAUGAAAACAUAAGACUAGGAUUUAUAUCAUAGUAACUGUACCGAAGUUUUUUAAUUAUGGCAGUUAGUUCGGAUUAUUCGGUUAGGGUAAUUUGGUUUUUGGUUAGUACUGUUCAACCUAAAUCUUAUUGAAUUAAACCGAAAUAAAGUUAUGUUUGGUAUUUGGUUUGGUAUUUGCUACCAAUUUUUUUUUUGGUUAAAUUUUGGUUUAUUUUUGUUAAAAUUUCGGAUAAUUUUGGUUAAUUUAGUUUGGAUCAAAAUUUGGUUAAUUCGGUUCGUGUUUUCGGUAUAGUUUGGAUAUAAUUUUUUUAUUUCAAAGAAAACCGAAGUAACCAAUUGCCGAACCGAACCGAAUUGAACUCUUUUAGAAACCUACUGAAUCAAACCGAACUUCUAACCAUCUAACCGAAAUUUUGGUUCGGUUCAAUUCAAAAUCCCAGGCCUAACCGAGAGACUGCAGGAGCCAACCUGUUAUAAGCAUCAGAAACUAUAACAAUUGAAAGAGAAAGAAACGCAAAUGUACCUUUGAGCCAUUACAGUAACACUAUCAGCAAGACUCAUCGUCCGGCUAUGGCAAGCAGAGACACAUGAAGCUAGAAACGAAGUCCUAAGAGUAGCUCUUGUAAAGUCAUGAGCACCAUGACAUACGAUCUUCUUAAUCAAUCCGGUAAUCCCCUGAAACUCUUGCUUUGUAGUCAAGAACCAAACAGAAUCUAGACCAACGCACAGAAAAUCAUUCAAAGUCAGCGGAUCAGCUAACUGAAUCAACCUCUCUGCACGUUCCCAGUCCAUUGAGGCCACAGCGCCUUGGAAGACUCGCCCCAGUUCGAUUCUUUCCUGUCUACUAAGCUUUUUCUGCUGAGAAUUAUUUUCCUUGUCGAUGAGAUCCUCGCUGGCUUUGAAGUUUAGUUUCUUUGCGCUACAGCCACAGCAUUCGCCUGGACUAGUCCCAGCUGGAUCCUUUCCUAUCAGAGGCGCCUCUCUUGAAAAAACCACAUUACUCGCACCCUCGCCUUCUUCAUUCUUCUCAGAGCAGUAAGGCUCAUCAGGGUAGUAUAUCUCAUCAUCACUUAACUUGAUAUCAUCAAACACUGCUUCUUUCUCCAUUCUUCUUCUUCUCGAGAUGUAUUAUUCACAAGUUCACACACAUGAAGAACCAAACAAAACUUCUCUUCAUCUGUGAACCAGACACAAGAACAAAAAGGUCUCAGCUUUUAUAUGCUCUUCCAGAUUUCUCCAAAAUAUCAAGAUAGCAAAACGUUCGAAAUCUACAGAACCAAAACCAUCACCGAGUCUUGACCAUGGCAUACGAAAUCAACAAGAAGCCCUAGAUUCGAAACAAAUACAUCAUCAGCAAAGAUAUUCGAUUGCGCUCAAUCAGCAGCAAAAGAAAGAACAAAAAACAGAACACUAAAUCGAACAUCCUAUCAGACAAAACCGAAUCUGAGUUUCAGAAGAACAACGUAAUUGAACAUGAAGAGAGACAGAGAAACCUGGACAAGAUUUGUUCCAUUAGAGAGAGAGAGAGAGAGAAAGAGAGGCUGAGAAGAACCCCCUCUUGUGUGCAUCGGGUUCUUGUUUUUUUAUUACACGAAUUAUAUUUUUAAAAUAUAAAAUAUUCUCUCUUUGAAUUAUUUACAUUUGUCGAAUCUUUUGAUUUAUUAAAUAGACUCUAAAUGAUAGAUUCUCUCUUCUUUUCUUUGGUCGCUGUUAAUUUUUCUUUGAAAUCUUAGAAUCUACUCAAUCUAACGUCUUCAAAUCAUAUGAAGACAAAACCGAUUUGAAGUUUUCUUCUUUUUUUUUUCAGUAUUGGUCAGAUUUGAAGCUUAAAUGAGGAUAAUAACUUAAAGUAUUUAAUUAAUAUUUUGGUUUAUAAGAGAUUUGAGAUUCAAACCUGAUAUAUGCAUUGUUGUAUAGUACGUACGGAGUUGAUUAUAACAAUUCAAACAUAUAAGUUGAACCAAAAAAAAAAAUUGAACCGCAUUUUUGGUGUGAAACUUUUGUACUUGUUGAUUAAUAAACGCGUCCCAAUCACUGAUGGUAAACCUAUAACAAAAGUGUAUGAGAAAUGUUCAAUGGAUGGUGAUGUAAUACUAGAUGCUAACAUGGUUUAUUACAAUUAUCCAAGACCCACAAUCAUGUGAAUUAUUAAAGUCUUGUAAUCCAUAUAUAAUGCGUGUAAGGUCACAAAAAUACGGUAUAUACUUUUAUUUAAAACUAUAUUAAGUAUCAACAUCAAUCGAAAAAUGAUUUCCCUUUGAAAAUACUACAAAAUGUUAUCAAGUUGAUUCCAAAUAAUGCUAUCAUUAUUCUUCUGUUAUUAUUAUUGUAAUAUACGAAAACGACUCCUAAGUGGGUUGCUUACGGAAAACACAGACAUACGAAUGUGACGCAGAUGUAACUGCAAAUAUUUUUUUUUGUAUACGAUGCCCCCACUCUUUCUUUAUUUUUGCUUCUUCACCUUUUUAAAAUGAACGCACAUAAUUUUAUUAUUACGCUUUUACCAAGUUUUUUGAAGAUAGUUGUUAGAAACUAGUAUAAUAUUACUUGACCGUUUUUAAUUUCCAUUCCAUAGUUUUUAUUUAUGAAAAAUCAAGUAAAUAGAAAGAUGAAAACAACUAACAUUCUCUAAAGAACACUUUUGAAUUUACUCCAAAGCCCAUACUAAACCAUGUGAUAUAUAUUUUAGAUGGAUUCAAGUCGAUCGAAGCCUUAGUAAAAGAUGGCUAGUGAGAAGAAGCUCAUGAGAUUGUAUAAAUCUUUUAACAAAACUUGUGUUGCAAAAAGAGAAUAGAGAAAGAGGAAUUGGUGUAUAUGAUUAUAUGAGUUGUUUACGUAAGAUUACAAUAGCUUAGACACAAAGGUUUUAGAGUGGGGAACAAGUAUAUCUAUUACUUUCCAUAUAGACAUCACCACAAUAUUCAUAACACUUUCUUUUGAUGUUCAUUAUCUCUUUUUUAUUAAAAAGAGAAACAUUCAUAGAAAUAAACCUUGGCCUCAUGUGUUUAUUACAUGAGUGUCAUUUCCUAUGUGUCAUCACCUCAUGCACUCUCACUAACUUUUUAAAAAAACUCUUUGUGAACUAGAAUAAUUACAACCAAAUGUCAUUGGUCAUAUACAUUAUAAUAUAUGAUUACAAUUUUCAAAAAACGGGGAUUUAUGACAGGCAAAAUAUUAACUCUUUUGUAAAAGGCAACAAAAUAAGUUCGACAUCUAUCAAAUCGUUUUAUGAGAAUUUUUCUUUACGUUAAUUAUAAUGCAACAUUUUAUGAACAUUUUUAAACUAAUAUCAAAUCGUAUUAUAAUGCAACGUUUUAUGAACCUUUUUGAAACCGAGUCAACAUUUUAUAAACAUUUUUAUGCAACAUUUUAUGAACAUUUUUAAACUAAUAUCAAAUUUCUUUAUAAUGCAACUAAAGAAACGGGAAUAAUUUUAUGAACAAUUUUAUGCUUAUUUUAGGAACACGUAUUAUAAUCGAACGUUUUAUGAACAUUUUUGUCAACGUUAAUUAUAAUGCAAUAUUAACUCUUUUGUAAAAGGCAACAUUUUUGUCAACGUUGAAAAAAAAAAUAUACGUUACGGAUAUCAGAUAUAUUUUGGUUAUUUGGUCAAAAUAAAAAGGAAACACAAUUGAAUUUCAAUAUACUCGAUGCAAACUCGAUAUUCCAAAUUAUAACCUACGCUUAAUUGGUCAAAAUAUUAAGGAAACACAAUAAUAUUGUUAACGUAUAAAAGGAAACAAAAUUCAAAGAAUCGAAAUACUUACCUUAAUCGAUAGGGGAAUAUUUCUGAUAUAUUUUUGGCAUGACCAUCACAGAUCUUAUAAUACCUAUUUCACGAAAACCCAUCACGCAAUAACAAAAUUAGGUAAGUGGUAUAUACGGUAUUAAAGGAGGAGUGACCAUCACGUUUGAUUUUGGCGUGACCAUCACGUUUGAUUUUGUGACAGACUAAGUGCAACCGUUUUACAUCAGAUUCGAAAAAAUAAUUCUCAAACAUGUAAUAUAUUGCUUUAAAAAUAUUUAUAACAAAGCUAUGAAGUGAACAAUAUUAAACUAAGAAUUCUUUAAAAUCAAUUUGUUUUUUUUAUAAUUUUUUAAUACUUCAAAGAUCAUGAUCAAAUUAUGCAUAAAUCUAUGCAAUAUUUCGACCAAUCAUAAAACUAUGCAAUAUUUGAAACUACAUAUAUGUUCAAAAUUAUAAAUCUUAGUUAAAAAACAAUUAAAAAUCGACAGUAAUUUAGGAAAAUACAUUAAAUUUCCGUAAACAAUUCAUAAUAUUUGAUUAUGUCUUUCUUCCGAUGAUUAAUUAUCAUUUCCGUAAACAAUGCAUAAUUGAUACAAUCAAAUUAUUAAUUAUCAAAAUCAUCGGAAGAAAAUCAAGGAUUUGGCCAGUUUAGAUUUUACAAACGUAUCAAUCAGAUCUUAAAUUUUGGAGUCAAGUGUGGAAUCAAUUCAUAAUUGAUUUUCUUCCGAUGAUUUUGAAAAUCAAGUCAAUAUUUUUCCCUUGGCCUACAAACAGUUUAAUGCUUAGAUUGACAAGGUUUACUUCCUCAGAUUUCCUUAGUUUAUACGUCCCAAAUUUAAGCUACUUCUAUAUGGUUUGAAUUAAUUCCUUAUUUAUGGUAUAAAUAUUUAUAAUUUAUAAGCUAUAGGGAAUGUGAAUAUUUGGUCAUAUACUACAAACAUAUUAAUGCCAUCGGCUAACUUUAUUUCCUCAAAUUUCCUUAUUUUACAAAUUAAAUUUAUUUGGGAUUACCUAAGAAUAUGGAUACUGAAUAUUCUCUUUCGCCAUAAUGCAAACAUUGUUGUACAAUACUAUUUAUCAAGUUUAUAAUCAAUUCAUAAUCUUCACUAAAUGAAUUUUUAAAACCAUCAAGUAAUUUACCUCAAUUAUAGUCGUUGAGAAACAUGUUUCUAUAUACGAUUCAAGAUCCAAAUUUUGCAUAAUUUGAGAGCUGCGUUUUUUAAAACAACAUGUGAAAAGACCAGUUUUAAAGUAAAUUGUACAGCAAGUAUGGAAAUAUUAAUUAGUAAAUAUUUGCUACUAUAAUUUUGGCUAUUUGUUUUCAUCAUUAAAACUCUAUAUAAAUACGUAGUGUCUGCAACACAACUCAUCGCCACAUCAUUCUUUCUGAAUCAUCAUUAACAAAACCAGAAGUACACCACUGGCGGACUUUAUAGGAUUGUAAACGAAGAGUUUUGAAGAUACUUUUCACAGCAGUCAUAGUUUUCUUAGUUUUUUUAUUUAUUUUGUUUCCUUAUUAUAUAGGAUAUGCUUUCACAUUUUAUUUAAUUUUAUCACCUAUGUUUUGUUUUAUCUUAUAUUCAUAUUUUAUUUUCUGAAAGCAAUAAUUAUAUGGCAUAUAUUUCGUUUUAUCUUUAUUUCAUAAUUAAUUUUAUAUAAGUUUUUGUUUACUCUUAUAGAUUCAUUUUCACGAACUAUACUUCAAUCACACAAAACAAAUAACACAAGUUUUUAAAAACUUUGAAGCUUACUUUAUUUACAUAUCCACAAUUUCGUUGAAUCCCUUAGCAUAAAUAACAUGUAAUAUUUGUGUCUAUGACUUUUACAUUUCUAAUAUCUAUAUAUUCAAACUUAUAAUUUCUUUAAGUUUCCUUACCCCGCGCAGGGCGCGGGUGAUCACCUAGUACCAAAGUGUUUUCAAAACGCCAUAGAUGUUGUCUCGUUAAAAACAUUAUCAGGAAAACCCAAUGGGAAAAACCAAGAUUAAAGGAAAAAGAGUGCAGCGCGCAAUGACUUCCCCUCAUGUUUACAUUCGUCGAGAUCUUUAAGGCGACAUAAUCCGAUUAGACGAACUAACUUCUUGAAAGUAGCAGUGGUUAGCGCAUUGGUGAAUAAGUCAGCGGAAUGUCACUUGAACGAACUUGCAGGACACGAACAUUGCCAUUCUUUUGCAGUGCAUGAGUCUUGAUAUGACUUAUGUUGAUUCUUGCUAGGACUCAUGAUAUCAAAGGAUGAUGAUAGAGUUUCAUCUUUGAAAUGAUAACAUUCCCUUUGGUGUCUAUCAUUUAUGUGUUCUUUGUUGCCUCUCUUUCACAAGAUUUUGUAUCUUUGUCUAUUGCUUCUUUGGCCAAUCAUUUCUUUGUGUACACUUUUUAAUAGAAUUUCUUUUAUGAUCCUCUUUCUCAUUCAUGAUAUCAACUGCUACUUUGCAUGUAUAAAUAUCAUCGACGUCGAUUUGCUUAUUAGUUCCAUUUUGUUUCAUAUAUGACAUAACAUAUUGAGAUCUCUUCAUUGUUUCAGGUACAUGAAUUUCUUUCAGUCAUGUUUAAAGUCUCUUCUGGAGAUCAUUUAAAACUAUAUUGCCUCAUUUUUACCAUUAUCAAUAUAUGCUCCUUUUCAUUUACGGGGAUUUUUAUUUUUGGAACCAAUAUGUUUACCACGCUGUAGACGUGACUAGCAGUUUGAUAUUGUUCUUGUAGAACAUCUAUUCUUAUUGGAACAUUUACAGCUGGUAUAUGUGACUUGAUCACUAUAUUUAUUUGGGGUCAGAAAAUAUAUAUCUGGCAACUGCUUUACUAAGCACUAUGAUUGAAUUAUCUUUUGGACUUGUAUUUGACAUGUUCUUUAGUCUUAUGAUCAAUGAUAACUCAUAUCAACUUAUUUUCUUUUCCAGCUGUUUAUUUUUUUCCUCUUUAUGUUGGAAACACUAAUUCACUGUUAGCAUUUAUGUUUGUAUCGAGCCUUAGAGAUUCAUAUCCAACAUAUAAUUCCAACCACAUUUGAAAACUCAUCUUAAUUAAAAAUCUAUGGUGGAGCAAUUAGAAUGUAUAUCGCACAUCCAACAUUCCUUGAUGGAAAUUGGUUGGUUUCUGAUCCAAUACCAAUGAUGGGGAGAAUCAGUGAUUACUUGUUAGCUUGAUGUGAAUCAGUGUUACUCAAAAUGUUUAACACUUAUCCCAAUGAUUUUUCUAUAGUCGUCGAAGACUUAAAGAAAUGGAUUCACCAAUAUUAUAAAGAUGCAUAGUGGGUGAUCAAUCCAUUGACAUAUCUUUUAUUCAUCCAAUUAUUUUCUUUGGUUGGUGAAAACCGUAUUAUCAUUUUAUCUUGUGAGCAAAUAACAUAUGUGAAAUCAUUCGCAAGAAUCUUCUGGUUCUUCAAUGAAUAUUCACAUAAAUAUUCAUGUAUCUUUUCACAUCAUUACUAAACCCAAAUAGUCUAACUGGUUCAUGUCAAAUAUUUUGUAAACUUCUGGUUUACUAUAUAUUUAUUUUCAUUACACUAAUUUUUAUAUAGUACAAUAUAUAAGAAGCUAUAGAUACUUUUUCUAGAAUACUUAUAUUCCCUGGAGAAAUAUUUUCUUAUUUGAAAUGUAUAUAGCAUUUCGUUUGUUUAUUGGCUCAACAUUAAUGUCUCAAAAUCCCAGAGAUUUAUUUUGAGAAUGAUUCAUCAAUCUUAGUUUUAGUGCAAACAUAAUUUUUUUUUAUGUUUAACUUAUCAUAAAAUGUGAGAUUUUUUAAUUUUUAUAUUACAUUUUAGUAUGAUACUUCGGGACCAAAAUAUCUCCAAGCUUUUAAUAACAACUUGCAUGUUUCUUAAUAACAUUUGUACUUUUGAAUGGUUUUGAACGGGCCGAUUAUAUACAAUGGCUGAAUAUCUGACUGAGUCAUAAGAUUACAUGAAAGAUUUGGUAAUUUUGAUUUGGAAAGAUAUAAUAAUUUGAUAUUCUUAGUGAUUUAACGUAAAGCAUUUACAACAAACACAUCUUAUUAGAAUUUGUGGCUUCUAAAAACCAGUAUUGCCAUUUGGUAACUUCGAAAUUUAAUACAAUGUAUCACUUAUUUUCAUUGUUCUUUGUAUAGAUAUAAUAGAAAGUGCACCCCCGAAAAAGUUUAUUAUAUUUAUUUAAGUUUAAAAUUAAUUGUUUCCUAUAGCUUUAAAUAUACCUCCUCGUCACUCAUCUCCCUCGACGAUUUACGUGUGUACAUCGACCUCUCUCAAUCUCUUUUCGCUGCAAGCCUUACGAGAUCAAGCAUGGAUGAAGAAUACGAGGUUAUUGUUCUUGGAACCGGUCUCAAGGAGUGCAUCCUCAGCGGUCUCCUUUCUGUCGAUGGUGUCAAGGUCCUCAUCCUCUUCCUUCGAUUCACAUUUAGAUUUAUUUUUUCCUUCUCUUACUGCCUUAAUCCGGAUGAACGGAUCAGAUUAAAUCUCCGAUUGUAUGAUUAAUGUGGAUGAGACGUUAUGUUGUUAUUCGAAUGCUUUCAUUUGAUUUUACCACGAUCUGAUCAUUUUAAGCAUUGGUUAUUUUGAUUAAUUUGUCGGUGUGGAUAUCAUGAGUAGGUGCUUCACAUGGACAGGAGUGAUUACUAUGGUGGAGAAUCAACAUCUCUUAACCUCAAUCAGGUUCUUCUUUUUAAGUCUUUAUUAAUGGUUUUGUGGUAGUUUACUUUUAUUCAUCGUUUUUAUUUUUGUGUGCAGCUUUGGAAGAAGUUCAGAGGAGAAGAGAAGGCCCCUGAGCAUUUAGGUGCAAGCAGGGACUACAACGUUGACAUGAUGCCUAAGGUAUUGUUGUUGGUGGCUUUCAUUAUAUUGUAUGCAUUAAAAAUGAAGCACUAAGAAACAAGAUGGUGGGUUAAGGUCUCAAGACAAUGGAGAUACCACUACAAGGGACAAACAUGCAUGGUUGGUUAAGGUCUCAAGACAAUGGAGAUGCCACUACAAGGGACAAGCAUGCAUGGUGGGUUAAGGUCUCAAAACAAUGGAUUAUUAGUUUAUCAUAUCUCAUCUACCAUUUACCAUACUUGUAACCACUAUAUAUAUGAGAUGUUCUCAUAAUCAAAUAAAUCAAGUGAAUAAGAUUAUCCUUCUUUACUCUCUCUCUCUCUCUCUCACUUGUUCUUCACUAUGUUCUUUAAUUUCUAACAUGCAUGCUAACUAAUGAGUCAACCUAACGUUUGUCUUUCAAUGUGAUGGACCAGUUUAUGAUGGGAAAUGGCAAGCUUGUUCGUACCCUUAUUCACACAGACGUUACAAAGUAUUUGUCGUUUAAAGCCGUUGAUGGAAGCUAUGUUUUCGUUAAAGGGAAAGUAAAAGCUUCUCAUUCAUGUAUAGGUUUUGCAUAUAUUUACAAAAUAUAAUUUUGCUGAUAACUCUUUUAACUGUUGAUGAAUAUAUUUGGCUACAGGUUCAAAAGGUGCCUGUGACUCCUAUGGAAGCCAUGAAAUCUAAUCUCAUGGGUAUAUUUGAGAAACGUCGAGCUGGCAAGUUUUUCGGUUAUGUUGAGGAUUACGACGAGAAGGAACCCAAAACACACAACGGAAUGGAUUUGACCAAACUUAAUUACAACUAAGGAACUGAUUGCGUAAGCUCUAUCUAAUAAUACCCUUUAGCUAGCUUUACGUGUGGCUAACCACUUAGAUGGCUGGAAAUUUGGUCUUGAUGACAACACUAUUGAAUUCAUUGGUCACGCGAUUGCACUUCACACCAAUGACCAACAUCUCCAUCAACCUGCCUUGGAUACUGUUAUGAGAAUGAAGGUGAACUUUUUUUGUCAGAUUUGUUUUAACAUCUCUGAAGCUGACAUUUUUGCUUUAAUUGGUUUGGCUAGCUCUAUGCGGAAUCUCUUGCACGUUUCCAAGGAAGCUCUCCAUAUAUUUAUCCUCUCUAUGGGUUGGGAGAACUGCCUCAGGUUUUUCUAUCACUCUAAUCUUUGCCUUGGUUGCCUUAAUCUCCUUCAGUUUUAGAUGAUUAUUUCUUGCUUCUUCUCUGACUUUUCUAUAUAUCUUCUCCUUGUUCAGGCAUUUGCACGGCUUAGUGCUGUCUAUGGUGGCACAUAUAUGUUGAACAAACCUGAUUGCACGGUAAUUUUCUCUUCCUCAUUGUUAUACAACUCAUUGGUUUUUCUUUCUUGUGGCGCAAGUAUCAAUGUAGGGAUGUUGUACUCAUAUAUAUAUAUAUAUAUCAAUAUUAAUUCUUAUGAUAGGUAGAGUUUGACGAGGAAGGUAAGGUUACUGGUGUAACAUCUGAGGGAGAGACCGCCAAAUGCAAAAAGGUUGUGUGUGACCCUUCUUACCUGCCGAACAAGGUAAUUAUAUUGCAGUUCUUAUCAUGUUUAAACCAUCUUUUUAAACUUGUCCUUCUUUUCCUUAGUUAUUUAUAUUAUGAUUGUGGAAUGUAUCAUAAUAUGAAGAGUAAUGACAUUCAAACAGGUUAACAAGAUUGGCAGAGUUGCUAGGGCCAUCGCAAUUAUGAGCCACCCUAUUCCAAACACCAAUGACUCUCACUCAGUACAGGUCAUCAUACCCCAGAAGCAGUUGGCCCGCAAGUCAGACAUGUGAGUUCCNNNNNNNNNNNNNNNNNNNNNNNNNNNNNNNNNNNNNNNNNNNNNNNNNNNNNNNNNNNNNNNNNNNNNNNNNNNNNNNNNNNNNNNNNNNNNNNNNNNNNNNNNNNNNNNNNNNNNNNNNNNNNNNNNNNNNNNNNNNNNNNNNNNNNNNNNNNNNNNNNNNNNNNNNNNNNNNNNNNNNNNNNNNNNNNNNNNNNNNNNNNNNNNNNNNNNNNNNNNNNNNNNNNNNNNNNNNNNNNNNNNNNNNNNNNNNNNNNNNNNNNNNNNNNNNNNNNNNNNNNNNNNNNNNNNNNNNNNNNNNNNNNNNNNNNNNNNNNNNNNNNNNNNNNNNNNNNNNNNNNNNNNNNNNNNNNNNNNNNNNNNNNNNNNNNNNNNNNNNNNNNNNNNNNNNNNNNNNNNNNNNNNNNNNNNNNNNNNNNNNNNNNNNNNNNNNNNNNNNNNNNNNNNNNNNNNNNNNNNNNNNNNNNNNNNNNNNNNNNNNNNNNNNNNNNNNNNNNNNNNNNNNNNNNNNNNNNNNNNNNNNNNNNNNNNNNNNNNNNNNNNNNNNNNNNNNNNNNNNNNNNNNNNNNNNNNNNNNNNNNNNNNNNNNNNNNNNNNAGGAAGUACACACUUGAUCUUUUGAAUGAGGCAGGAAAGCUUGGAGCGAGAGUAGCCAAGACUCCACUAGAAGAUGGGUAUAAGGUGCUGCGUGAGGGGGAGAUUGAAGAUAAGCCUUAUGCUGACGUUAAACACUAUAGAAGAAUGGUAGGAAAGCUGAUAUACCUCACCAUCACCAGGCCUGAUGUAUGCUUUGCAGUUAACCAAGUAAGCCAGAAUAUGCAAGCUCCCAAGAUACACCAUUGGAACAUGGUUGAAAGGAUCCUAAGAUACCUAAGAGAGGCGCCAGGGCAAGGAGUGUGGAUGGGAUGCAACAAAAAUACAGAGAUAGUUGGGUAUUGUGAUGCUGAUUGGGCAGGAGACAGAGUGGAUAGGAGAUCCACUACCGGUUAUUGUACAUUCAUUGGAGGCAAUCUUGUCACUUGGAAGAGCAAGAAACAGAAGAUAGUGUCAUGCUCAAGUGCUGAAGCUGAAUAUAGGGCAAUGAGGAAGCUCACUAGUGAGUUGAUUUGGAUCAGAAACCUACUUCAAGACUUUGGUAUAGAGACAUCAACUCCAAUCACCAUGCAUUGUGAUAAUCAAGCGGCAAUACACAUAGCCUCCAACAAUGUGUUCCAUGAGAGGACUAAACACAUUGAGGUGGAUUGUCAUAAAGUUAGGCAAGCAGUGGAACAAAGGAUCAUCUUACCCUGCUAUACAAGAAGUGAGGAUCAACUAGCUGAUAUCUUCACCAAGGCUGCAAGCACCAAGGUUUGCGAGUUCAUACAUUCCAAGUUAGGACUCGUAGAUUUUUCAUCACACUGAUCCUCUUAGUCAUGAAGUGUUCUACUCUUUUUCCUUGGCUUGGUUUUUAUCCCAUGAGGUUUUUCCAAGCUAAAGGUUUUAAUGAGGGAAUGCUUCAUGGUUUCCAAGCUUGACCAGUUCCUAUGGUCAAGCUUGAGGGGGAGUGUAAAAAUGAAGCAAUAAGAAACAAGAUGGUGGGUUAAGGUCUCAAGACAAUGGAGAUACCACUACAAGGGACAAACAUGCAUGGUUGGUUAAGGUCUCAAGACAAUGGAGAUGCCACUACAAGGGACAAGCAUGCAUGGUGGGUUAAGGUCUCAAAACAAUGGAUUAUUAGUUUAUCAUAUCUCAUCUACCAUUUACCAUACUUGUAACCACUAUAUAUAUGAGAUGUUCUCAUAAUCAAAUAAAUCAAGUGAAUAAGAUUAUCCUUCUUUACUCUCUCUCUCUUUCUCUCUCUUGUUCUUCACUAUGUUCUUUAAUUUCUAACAUGCAUGCUAACUAAUGAGUCAACCUAACGUUUGUCUUUCAAUGUGAUGGACCAGUUUAUGAUGGGAAAUGGCAAGCUUGUUCGUACCCUUAUUCACACAGACGUUACAAAGUAUUUGUCGUUUAAAGCCGUUGAUGGAAGCUAUGUUUUCGUUAAAGGGAAAGUAAAAGCUUCUCAUUCAUGUAUAGGUUUUGCAUAUAUUUACAAAAUAUAAUUUUGCUGAUAACUCUUUUAACUGUUGAUGAAUAUAUUUGGCUACAGGUUCAAAAGGUGCCUGUGACUCCUAUGGAAGCCAUGAAAUCUAAUCUCAUGGGUAUAUUUGAGAAACGUCGAGCUGGCAAGUUUUUCGGUUAUGUUGAGGAUUACGACGAGAAGGAACCCAAAACACACAACGGAAUGGAUUUGACCAAACUUAAUUACAACUAAGGAACUGAUUGCGUAAGCUCUAUCUAAUAAUACCCUUUAGCUAGCUUUACGUGUGGCUAACCACUUAGAUGGCUGGAAAUUUGGUCUUGAUGACAACACUAUUGAAUUCAUUGGUCACGCGAUUGCACUUCACACCAAUGACCAACAUCUCCAUCAACCUGCCUUGGAUACUGUUAUGAGAAUGAAGGUGAACUUUUUUUGUCAGAUUUGUUUUAACAUCUCUGAAGCUGACAUUUUUGCUUUAAUUGGUUUGGCUAGCUCUAUGCGGAAUCUCUUGCACGUUUCCAAGGAAGCUCUCCAUAUAUUUAUCCUCUCUAUGGGUUGGGAGAACUGCCUCAGGUUUUUCUAUCACUCUAAUCUUUGCCUUGGUUGCCUUAAUCUCCUUCAGUUUUAGAUGAUUAUUUCUUGCUUCUUCUCUGACUUUUCUAUAUAUCUUCUCCUUGUUCAGGCAUUUGCACGGCUUAGUGCUGUCUAUGGUGGCACAUAUAUGUUGAACAAACCUGAUUGCACGGUAAUUUUCUCUUCCUCAUUGUUAUACAACUCAUUGGUUUUUCUUUCUUGUGGCGCAAGUAUCAAUGUAGGGAUGUUGUACUCAUAUAUAUAUAUAUAUAUCAAUAUUAAUUCUUAUGAUAGGUAGAGUUUGACGAGGAAGGUAAGGUUACUGGUGUAACAUCUGAGGGAGAGACCGCCAAAUGCAAAAAGGUUGUGUGUGACCCUUCUUACCUGCCGAACAAGGUAAUUAUAUUGCAGUUCUUAUCAUGUUUAAACCAUCUUUUUAAACUUGUCCUUCUUUUCCUUAGUUAUUUAUAUUAUGAUUGUGGAAUGUAUCAUAAUAUGAAGAGUAAUGACAUUCAAACAGGUUAACAAGAUUGGCAGAGUUGCUAGGGCCAUCGCAAUUAUGAGCCACCCUAUUCCAAACACCAAUGACUCUCACUCAGUACAGGUCAUCAUACCCCAGAAGCAGUUGGCCCGCAAGUCAGACAUGUGAGUUCCCUUCUUUUUUAAUGUUCUUACAAUGAUUUGUGGUAAGCUCCAUCUCAGUAUCAAAUUGACAUAUGUCUCUACAUGCUGACAGGUAUGUCUUCUGUUGUUCCUACUCCCACAACGUGGCUCCCAAGGGAAAGUUCAUCGCAUUUGUAUCUACAGAUGCAGAGACUGAUAACCCUCAAACCGAACUAAAGGCUGGAAUUGAUCUUUUGGGUCCUGUUGAUGAGAUAUUCUUCGACAUGUAUGAUAGAUACGAGCCUGUCAACGAGCCCGCUUCGGACAACUGCUUUAUAUCAACGGUGAGCCAUCUUUAGUUUACACCUUAGCCUAUUUUUAGAAUGGGUGGAUUCUAAGUAACUAACCUUUUCCUUGUUGGUCAUUAACAGAGCUAUGAUGCUACAACACACUUCGAGACAACUGUUGCUGAUGUGUUGAACAUGUAUACCUUAAUCACCGGAAAGGUAAAUGUCUGACAUUCGCUACGGAUAUAUGUUAGAUGAGAUGGAGACAAAAGUCUUGAGUUUUCUUGACAUCUUUUAAUAUCAAUUUUGUGUUUUUUUUUCUUCUUCUUAUGUUGCAGCAACUAGACCUAAGCGUUGAUCUGAGUGCAGCGAGUGCUGCAGAGGAAUGAGGAACCUGUGAUCACUCUCUCUAGUUGUUGUUUCCUUCUUUUUCAUUUCUUUUCGUUGGUUUCAAUACAUAAUCAGAUCGAUGCUCAUUUUUUAUUAUGUUGAAUGUUUGGUUAAAAUCUCUUUAAAACCUUAACUUUUUUCAGCUGUUGGUGUCCUCUUUUAUUUAUGGAGGAUAUAGAACGAAGCUAAAUAUGUUUUACCUAUGAUUUAUGGGUAAAUCUCCAAAAUAGCACAUUUCUAAGUUUAUAUCACAAAAAUAGCACUCAAAAACUAAAAUGACCAAAAUAGCAUCUUUCUAAGUUUAUUCUUUGAAAAUUUUAAUGUUUUUAUUUUUCAAAAUUUGAAAUCUUAUUCCCAAAACUUCAUUUCUAAACUCUAAACCCUAAACCCUAAACUCUAAACCCUAAACCCUAAACCCUAAACCCUAAACCCUAAAAUCUAAACCCUAAACCCUAAACUCUAAACCUUAAACCCUAAAUUCUAAACCCUAAACCCUAAACUCUAAACCCUAAACCCUAAACCCUAAAUCGUAAACCCCACCCUUUAACUCUAAAUCCUAAGUUUGUGACUUUUGAUAAAACAUUAAGUGCUAUUUUUGU